rnacentral:lncRNA from 1 species
GUAAUUAAAGAUAUAUUCUUCUAUUCUGUUAUUUUAUCAAUAUUAUAUCAAUCUCUGACUCUAUGAGUGAAAAAGAAAAGAAAAAAGAGCCUAAAAAUUAUUAUUUUAUAGAAAUAAAUACCUCACGUGAUGUUGGCUCCUAUUAUUUUGGGAUCAAAUUAUGUGGAUGGAGGGAAUGUGGCGCACUUUAUAGAAAUCCUCUCCUUCUCUUCCAUCUAUCACUUCAAUCCUUUCUUCCAAUGACGAAGGUAGUCCUCUUAAAUUCAAUUCUUGGAGAGUAGUAAUGUACCUCAAUCCUUCUGGAAACAUCCUUAAACUCUCAACGUUGACCAACUCCAAUUCUCGAAGGCAUGGCAUUGAACCUUCUUCUAUUUCCCACUCCUCCAACUCAAAUAACCAAGACAUUUGAAGAUAAUCAAGUUUAGGAAAUAUUGGAACCCACCCAUUGUUUGAAAAGUCAAAAAGGGUGGGCACUGAAAGUAGAAAGUAAAAUUGGUUGGCAAGUUGGGUUAAAAGUUGGCAUGGGAUAAUUGCAAUUUUGGUCCCUAAUUGUAUAGGGACAUUGCAAGUUGAUCCUUGAACCUCAACUAUAAAUAGGCCUAACCAUUUCUUACUUUCUUCAUCCCACACUUGCCAUUCUCUACUUAAGGCAAUUGUUCUCUCUCCCUAUUUGUAAACUUUCACUUGUAUUUUUGGAGUGAAAUAUAUUUGGUAGUGCCCGAGGACGUAGGCAAAAUUUGCUGAACCUCGUUAAAAUUCUAGUGUUCUUUAUUUUUGUUCUGCAUAUUUUGCAAGUGUUAUUGUAGUGAUUUAUUGUGCUAUUAAAUUACGAUAGAGGGAUAUUCUGGCUAGGAAAGAUCUGGUAUGUAAGCGAUCCUCGUGAUCCACCUCUCUUUCUUGGGAAUUGAACUUAGUGUGAUUUUUCAAUACAAUAAUUUUACUCUUUCACACGCUUCCGCGCAACAAUUGGUACCAGAGCCAGGUUCGUACUUGGGGAAUACGACCGUUUACGGUACUAUUCACGUAUACGGUACUAUUCACGUAUACAGUACUAUUCACGUAUACGACACUAUUCACGUAUACGGUACUGUUCACGUAUACAGUAGUUGGGAUUGAGGAGAAAAAUGGCAGCAGCAUCGUCAUCAGCAAGGACUACUGUGACAAAUGCAAAAUUUGAAGUAGAGAAAUUUGACGGUACCAAUAAUUUUGGUAUGUGGCAGUGUGAGAUCCUGGAUGUCUUAUGUCAGCAAGAGCUGGAUAUAGCCCUUGAAGAAAAACCUGACAAGAUGGAUGACAAGGAGUGGGCCAAGAUCAAUAGACAGGCGUGUGGUACAAUCCGCCUAUGUUUGGCCAAAGAGCAGAAGUACUCCGUCAUGAGGGAGACAUCAGCGAAGAAGCUGUGGGAUACAUUGGAAGAAAAGUUUCUAACGAAAAGUCUUGAAAAUAGGCUUUAUAUGAAAAAGAAACUUUUUCGGUUCACGUAUGCACCCGGUAUGUCGAUGAAUGACCAUGUGAACUCAUUCAAUAAAAUUUUAGCAGACUUGCUAAAUUUGGAUGAGAAAUUUGAAGAUGAAGACAAGGCAUUAUUGUUGUUGAAUUCCCUUCCUGAUGAAUAUGAUCAUCUUACCACCACAUUGCUUCAUGGGAAAGAUUCAAUCACAUUUGAUGCAGUCUGUAGUGCGUUGUAUAGAUCUGAGACUCGAAAGAAAGAUAAAAGAGAUCACAGAGAUACAACUGCAGAAGUCUUAACAGUAAGAGGUCGUUCACACAGCAGCAAACCUGGUAGAAGGGGUAAGUCCAAAGGGAGACCCGCCAAAGAUGAAUGUGCCUUUUGUCGUGAGAAAGGGCAUUGGAAAAAGAAUUGUCCUAAGUUACAAAAGGGCAAGUCUAUUUCUAAUGCAUGUGUAGCGGAGCAUGAUGAGGAGUCAGACUUUAGCUUGGUUGGCAUGGCAAUCGCAUGUCAAACGGAUGAGUGGAUAUUGGAUUCGGGAUGUACUUACCAUAUGUGUCCUAAUAAGGACUGGUUUUCUAGUCUUGAAGAACUAGAAGGUGGAGUUGUUUUUAUGGGCAAUGAUAGUGCCUGUAAGACAAUGGGUGUAGGUACAAUCAAAUUGAAGAACCAUGACGGCUCAAUCCAAGUUCUGACAGAUGUUCGCUAUGUACCCAGCUUGAAGAAAAAUCUCAUCUCAUUAGGGGCCCUAGAAUCUAAAGGGCUCACAAUCACUUUGAGAGAUGGAUUACUAAAGGUAGUAGCUGGGGUAUUGACGGUGAUGAAAGGCACUAGAAGAAAUAACUUGUACUAUUUAAAUGGAAGUACAGUUAUUGGAUCAACAUCAACAGCUUCUACGAAAGAUGCAGAUUCAGAGGCUACCAGGUUAUGGCAUAGGCGAUUGGGACAUGCUGGUGAAAAAGCUUUGCAGACUUUGGCGAAGCAAGGCUUGUUGAAAGGUGCAAAUUCUUGCAAAUUGGAAUUCUGUGAACAUUGUGUUCUGGGCAAGCAGACGAGGGUAAAAUUUGGUUCAACAAUUCACAAUACGAAAGGAAUUCUGGACUAUGUUCACAGUGAUGUGUGGGGACCUACCAAAGUGGCUUCUUUGGGAGGUAUGCACUAUUUUGUCACUUUUCUUGAUGAUUAUUCAAGAAAAGUAUGGGUGUAUCUAAUGAAAAGAAAAAAUGAAGUUUUGGAUGCAUUUCUGAAGUGGAAGAAGAUGGUGGAGACUCAGACAGGUCGAAAGGUCAAACGACUUCGAUCAGAUAAUAGUACUGAGUACAAAAAUGAUCCAUUUCUACAAGUAUGUCAAGAUGAGGGCAUUGUGCGACACUUCACUGUUCGAGAUACACCACAGCAGAAUGGGGUGGCAGAACGCAUGAAUCGGACUAUACUGGAGAAAGUUCGAUGUAUGUUGUCCAAUGCUGGAUUGAGCAAGGAAUUUUGGGCUGAGGCAGUUACAUAUGCGUGCCAUCUAAUUAACCGAUUGCCAUCAGCUGCAAUAAAUGGAAAAACUCCUAUGGAGAUGUGGACUGGUAAACCUGCUACUGAUUAUGAUUCUUUACAUGUUUUUGGUUCCACUGCAUAUUAUCAUGUAAAAGAAUCUAAGUUAGACCCAAGAGCAAAGAAAACAUUAUUCAUGGGUAUAACUGGUGGUGUAAAAGGAUACCGUCUCUGGUGUCCUGAUACAAGGAAGAUUGUUUUCAGUAGAGAUGUAACUUUUGAUGAAUCAACCAUGAUGAAGAACGAGGAUUCACAAAAGGAUGACAAAACCAGUAGUACUUUGCAGCAGGUGGAGUUUGAAAAGGUUAAUGAUGAUCCAGCUAAUAUUGAAAGAACAAAUGAUGAAGAAGUUUUGACCCAAGAACUUCUACAGCAACAAGAUUCAAUUGCAUAUAGGAGGCCAAGAAGAGAGAUUCGUAAGCCUGCUCGCUUUGACGAUGUGGUGGCCUAUGCACUUCCAAUUGCAGAUGAUGAUGUUCCUUCCACUUACACAGAAGCAAUAAGUAACUCUGAUGGUGUAAAGUGGAAGCAAGCUAUGAAUGAAGAAAUACAGUCUCUUCAUAAAAAUAGGACUUGGGAGUUGGUGAGACUGCCCAAGGGAAAGAAGGCAAUUGGAUGCAAAUGGGUAUAUGCAAAGAAGGAAGGAUUUCCUGGUAAAAAUGAAAUUCGAUACAAGGCUAGAUUGGUAGCAAAGGGUUACGCUCAGAAAGAAGAAAUAGACUACAAUGAAGUGUUUUCUCCAGUUGUGAAGCAUUCGUCUAUUCGGAUUUUGCUAGCCUUGGUUGCGCAAUACAAUCUUGAACUAGUUCAGCUUGAUGUGAAGACAGCAUUUUUACACGGUGAUUUGGAAGAGGAAAUCUAUAUGACUCAGCCUGAUGGAUUCAAUGUUGCUGAUAAAGAAAAUUGGGUUUGCAAACUGACAAAGUCGCUUUAUGGAUUGAAACAAUCUCCGAGGCAGUGGUACAAGCGAUUUGAUCAGUUCAUGAAAGGGCAAAGGUACACAAGAAGUAAAUUUGAUCAUUGCGUAUAUUUUCAGAAGCUACAAGAAGGAACUUUCAUAUACUUGCUCUUAUAUGUUGAUGAUAUGCUGAUAGCAUCUAAGAGCAAAGUUGAGAUUGAGAGAUUGAAGACUCAACUCAAUCUCGAGUUUGAGAUGAAAGAUCUAGGUGAAGCUAAGAAGAUUCUUGGCAUGGAAAUAUGUAGAGAUAGAGCUCAUGGCAGAGUUAGCUUGUCUCAGAAGCAGUAUUUGAAGAAAGUACUACAGCAGUUUGGCAUGAACGAGCAGACCAAACCUGUAAGUACCCCGUUGGCUUCUCAUUUCAAGCUUUCUGCACAACUAUCUCCUUCGACGAAUACGGAACGAGAAUACAUGUUGCAAGUUCCGUAUUCUAAUGCAGUGGGUAGCUUGAUGUAUGCAAUGGUGUGUACAAGACCCGACAUUUCACAGGCAGUUAGUAUAGUGAGCAGGUAUAUGCAUAAUCCUGGAAAAGGACAUUGGCAAGCUGUGAAAUGGAUUCUACGGUAUAUUCAGAAGACCGUGGAUGUUGGAUUACUGUUCAAGCAGGAUAAUACACUUGGUAAAGGUGUUAUUGGGUACGUUGAUUCUGACUAUGCCGGUGAUUUGGACAAGCGAAGAUCAACCACCGGUUAUGUGUUUACACUUGCUGGAGGACCAAUAAGUUGGAAGUCUGCACUACAGUCUACAGUUGCAUUGUCAACCACAGAAGCCGAGUACAUGGCUGUAACAGAGGCUGUAAAGGAGGCUAUUUGGUUACAAGGUAUGGCUAAAACCUUGGGGUUGGUUCAGGAGCAUAUUAACGUGUAUUGUGAUAGUCAAAGUGCUAUUCAUUUAGCAAAGAAUCAAGUCUAUCAUGCACGUACAAAACAUAUCGACGUACGAUUCCAUUUUGUGCGGGAAAUUAUUGAAGAGGGGAAAAUUUGUCUUCAGAAGAUCAAGACUGCAAAUAAUCCCGCAGAUAUGAUGACCAAGGUGGUAACAGCAACCAAGUUCGAACAUUGUUUGAACUUGAUUAAUAUCCUGCAAGUUUAACAGUUGAAGAAGGCACUAUCAAGUAUUGUUGUCAAAGGCAGAAAGAAUUGUGUGAAGAUAAGAUUAUCCUAAUCAAAUCUUCAAGGUGGAGAUUAUUGGAACCCACCCAUUGUUUGAAAAGUCAAAAAGGGUGGGCACCGAAAGUAGAAAGUAAAAUUGGUUGGCAAGUUGGGUUAAAAGUUGGCAUGGGAUAAUUGCAAUUUUGGUCCCUAAUUGUAUAGGGACAUUGCAAGUUGAUCCUUGAACCUCAACUAUAAAUAGGCCUAACCAUUUCUUACUUUCUUCAUCCCACACUUGCCAUUCUCUACUUAAGGCAAUUGUUCUCUCUCCCUAUUUGUAAACUUUCACUUGUAUUUUUGGAGUGAAAUAUAUUUGGUAGUGCCCGAGGACGUAGGCAAAAUUUGCUGAACCUCGUUAAAAUUCUAGUGUUCUUUAUUUUUGUUCUGCAUAUUUUGCAAGUGUUAUUGUAGUGAUUUAUUGUGCUAUUAAAUUACGAUAGAGGGAUAUUCUGGCUAGGAAAGAUCUGGUAUGUAAGCGAUCCUCGUGAUCCACCUCUCUUUCCUGGGAAUUGAACUUAGUGUGAUUUUUCAAUACAAUAAUUUUACUCUUUCACACGCUUCCGCGCAACAGGAAAUCCAUUUGCAGAGCACGCCAUUUUACUCCCAAUAUAUGCUUCCUUCAAAUAGAGAAUCCUCAAAUGACAUAGCUUUUCUAAUACCGCCAAUGGAUCUUGGCUCAGCUCACAGUCAACCAAAGUUAAUUUGACAAUAUUUGAUGGAAGAAAUUUCAAAACAUGACCGUUCGGAUGUGGCUCAUCUUCUAUCCCACCCACUAAUUUCAGUUUGGAGAGGUGAUAAUAUUGAGAAAGGGGUUCUAAGUCUAGGUUUGAGCUAUCAGAAAAUUUCAAGGACACUGACCUAAGGCGUUGCAAUUUGGUUAGCAAGGUUAGGGUAAGCUUCACAUAUUUUGCUCUGGUAAAUGCUAUUCCUAAACUCUGAAUAUUAGUCCACCUAAGCACCGCAUUAUUUUCAACCGGCUUCCCAUCCACCUCUAUGAACUUCAAAGUUUCAAUAUUUUUUGAAGUGAACCCUUGCCGCCAACGAAAUCCAGAUGAGGAAUAUUUCCUAGACUUUAUUACAAUAUGCCUUAAACGUUCUAACUUAAACACACCAUCUGGAAUUACAAUGUCAUAACAAAACUUGAUGUACAAAGUGUACAGAUUCUUCAACCUGCCAAUAGAUCGCGGCAAAAUCAUUUUGUCAUUGUAGUAUAACUUCAAGUAUCUCAAAUGUUGGAGAUUACCAAUUUCAGUCGACACAUGCCACCACUUAUUGCCCCUUUUUGCAAGAGUCAACACCCUUAAAAAUUUGAAGCUUUUGUAUUUUGAAAUGCAUAAUUCUACCAAUCUCACAUUCUGAGAAAACAACAAAGAGCGUAAUUUUGGAUGCUCUCCCUUCAAAUAAACUUUCGAAUGUCUAGGAUGAAUAGAAAUUCUUCGUAGCAUAGAUUCUGCCAAUGUCACUUCAAGUUCAUACAGUGGUUGUUGAAUAAUUUCCAAGAACUUCUCCUCUCUUGCUUUCUUCGUGCACAAGUCCCUCAAGAGAUCAUGCACUCGACAUGUCUCCACAUUUGUUCCUGUAUAGUCUCGCCUGCUAACUUGAACCAAGCUCCUAUCUAUAAGCUCUUCUAGGAAUUUUUCGCCUAAAUCCUCCAUCAAGAAUUCUUCAUUUUCCGGAAUGAAACCUUCAGCGAUCCAUAAACGAAUGAGUUCCUUUUUCGGUAUCUCCCUAUCUUCUGGAUAAUGACUAAGAUACAAAAAGCAUGGUUUUAAAGGAUAAGGCAAGUCAUUGUAGCUUGAAACCAAAAUUCUGUUCACUGCCCCAUAUUGACGAUCUUGAUGUGGGAGCUCAUUUAAGUGUCCAUGGAUGUUUUUAUGAACCAUCUCCCAUUGAGCCACUGACUGUUUUGUUGCCAGCAAGCAACCCAACACAACAAUUGCUAAAGGCAAGCCUCCACAUUUUUUCACCAUCUCUUUUCCAAGCUUCACAAAUUCUUCUGAGCAGCAUUGAGAAGCCAUUUUGCUCCGUGGGAAUGCUUUCCUACACAAAAGAUUCCAACUUUCAUCAUCUGUAAGAAGUGAGAGCUCCACGGGAGUGCUCCAAGGAUCGGCACGUGAAGCCACAUUUUUUAUUCGUGUUGUGAACAAAAUUUUGCUUCCCUUUCUUCCUCGUGGAAAAGCAGGUUUAAGAAUAUCCCAGUCCUCACUUCUCCAAAUAUCAUCGAGGACCACCAAAUACCGCUUUUCUUUCAAAGCAUCAAAAAGCGUUCUCCUCAGCUCAAUCUCGUCCAUUUUCUCAAUUUUCUCUCUUUCAUCGUUAGAAGGAGAGAGAACUUUUUCAUCGUUAGAAGGAGAGAGAACUUUCUUCAAGACACUAAGCCAAACUUCUCUCGGCUUACAUUGUUGUGAGAUAGAAAACCAAGCCAAGAAAUCAAAAUGGUGUCUCACAUCAACAUGAUUAUAUACUUUUCUGGCAAGAGUAGUCUUACCGAGGCCUCCCAUGCCGACUAUGGAAACCACGGCGUGGGGUCUAUCUUCUUCAAACAUCAACAUGGUCAUGACAUCCUUCGUGCUAACUUCCAAGCUAACAACAUCCUCUUCCUCGACAUGUGAGUAUGUCCUUCUAAACUGUUGCUGCACCUUGAAAAUUGAGCUAGAGCCUUCUCCAUCAUCGGGUAUUUCAAAAGCUGGAAGAUUCUCGGAAAUGUUUUGGAGCUUGGUCUUGAUUGCUUUGACCUGCACCCCGAUUUUGUGCAGAUGAUAAGGUUUGGUGAAAAUGGAGGUGAAUCUCUUGACAAUCCCAUGAAAACCUCGUUGGUGUGCUGCUUUAAGAAUAAAAGAGUCGAUGGCAUCUUCAGCAUCAUAAGCAAGAUCUCUGAUUUCCCACACCCGAUUCUGGAAAUGCGCAUCCUGUUCAAACUUGCUAUCCGCGUCCUUCAAGAAACACUGCAUUCGCGUCAGUUCAGCCCUUAGGCUCUCAACUUGAUCUUUCACAUCUUUGAGGAAAACAGCUUCAUGGAUGAGUAGAUCUGAAAUUCUUUCAACAGCUAAGGACACAAUAGCCUCUUCCAUUUCUCCUGCUGGUCCAGAACAGAUUCCACAAACUGAUCUGCAAGUAUUAGUAGAAUAUUUUUUGUAUUAGUGGAUAAGUAUCUCUCUUUAUCAGAAGUUUUGAAGAGCUGUUUUUGGGUGUGAGGUUGGUAAUUACUGUUCUUUGGACAGCAAAUAGCUGAACUUAUUAUUAUUAUUAUGGAACGUAACUUUUUUUUAAUAAAAUAACAUAUAUUCAAACUUAACAUGUGGAUAACCCUUGUCCUAAGUUAGUUGUAUCCCUUCUAACAUCAAUCUUGCUUUAAUUUUAUACACUUCAUAUUUCUUUAAUGUCAUCGACUAACCACAUAAUUAAUUACUAUUAACAUAUUUAAUGACUCUUCCAAUUGUAAUUGAGUGAGCGCUAGACGAAAUUACACCAUCUGUAUUAAGCUUAACCUAACCACUUUCUAGAACUAACCAUUUUAAAUCAAAAGCCAUAAAAUUCGAAUGGAACAUAGCCAUUGAGGGUGGUGAAUAACUUCUCGUCCAACUGAUACCAUCUACCACAUCCUAAAUAGAGCUAUAACUAUCGAAAAGGACAAACAUAUUCCUAUUUUUCUAUAAUAACCAACAUAUUGUUAUUGAUUAAUAGUAAUGUUUAUAGAAAAAUAUAGAGUAAAUCAAAUUUAUUUUGAUAUCAAUAGAUGUUGAUUUAAUAAUGAAAAAUUCAUAACAAUUAUAAAAUAAUUUCUUCCAAUUAAAAAGCAAUUUUUUUUCUUUUUAUCUUUUUAAGAAAGACAAGGCAAGUGGACACAAAAUUCAUUAAAUUUUAAAAGUUAUAAAAUGAUAAUUGAACUAUUUAAAUAUUUUUAUUUUAGUCACUGAUCUAUUCAAUAAUUUUUAUUUAAGUCAUUAGAUUAUUAGCUUUUUUUUCAAACGUCUGAUUAGUUAGGUUAAAGCAACAAUUCGAUGAAUGGUACAAUGGAUCAAUACUCAUUGACGAGUAGAAUAACAUUUACUAGAUCAAGUCAAUUUGAUGGUUGGUGCCGAAGAACGGAGAACAAAACUAUUUAGAUUUAAAUUCGUAGAUACGUGACAUUUGAAGUUGUUUUAUUAAAAAAAAAAACUUAAACUAUAGACAAGCAGGGGUAGAAGAGUUAGCGGGCAAACAAUGAAGGACAUAUAGUAGUGAUUUUAACAACUUAAUGACUUAAAGAAAACUUUUGAAUAAUUUAGUGACAAUUUUGUAACUUUUUAAUGUUAAACGAUUAAAACGUAAACUUACUAAUAGUUUAAUGGCCUUGAAUGUAGUUUACUCCAAUUAUUUAUUAUUUUUAAUGUGUUGUUUUUUUUUACCUUACCUAAAUUACCCAUAAGUAAACUUCAUAAAUUCCAAAAAGUGGAGGAUAGUACGCGUUUAUUAAUGUUCAAACCCAUGUCCUCCAAUUCUUUUUUGCCCGGCCAAUAUAAAAUUUUAUACAGAACGAAAGGACGACUUGGAAAACAACAGUACAAAGAAUGUCGAAUGAAAAUAAGAGAAAAAAUUGAGAAAAUAAAACAAUCACGAUUUUUUUUGUAAAAUUUAAUGGUAAAAAAAAAGUUUUAUAUAAGAGGAGAAAUUUAUUUAUUUGAGGGAGUUUCAUAUAUAAUUUAAAUUUAGAAUUUCAAAACUCAUAACCGUGAAAAAAGUUGUUCAAUAAUUUUUACUUGGUUUGUUCCUACAACCGUUAUAUUAGAGUUUAUCACGUAUGGAUCCGUGUUUGUUUUUCUUUUAGAGUGGGUUUGGAUAGGCAGUAGAGUGCGGUGCAGCGGUGCAAUACGUUUAGUUUAUUUUUUAUCUCACGUUACAGUGUUGUUACAGUAUCUAAUCUCACCGUCAUCGCUAUUAUUACACUAACCGCAGGUAACCGUACCGCACAUCCAAACUCACCCGUAGUUUAUCACAUAUAAUCGUCUCUUUCCUUUCCCUUUUAUAGAUAGUAAGAGGUGUUUAUUGGUUCGAAUUAAGUUUAUGUUUAUUUAAAAUUAUCCAGUUUAAGAACUUAUUUUGUUAUGUCCAUUUAUAUUUAUAACUGGCAUAUGUUCGUCUAUUUUAAACCUGUAAUUUUUAAAUAUAUAUUAUUCUUAAUUUAAUAUUUAAUAUUUUUAAUAAUAUUUUUAUUAAAAUUGAAAUUUAUACAAUAUUUUUUAUGUUUAAAUAAAAUUUAUACAAAACUCUAAAGUGAGUUGGGUUUAGAGGUGAUCAUGGGUUGGACUACUCGUCCCGGCCUGACAGCUCGUCCGAAAAAUGGGAGAGUUUGGGUAAAAAUAUAGGCCCGAAAUAUGAGUUUGGGAAAAAAAGAGGCCCGUUUAGAAAACGAGCCGAGCCUCGAGUAAAACUUUUUUGGCCGGGCCCGGCUCGAAUUAUAUAUUAAAUAUAUAAUUUUUAUUUUAAUCAAAUAUACCUCUAAUUCUGGUUGGUUGAUUAUAUUUUGCAGGUAUUUAAUGCUAUUUUGGUGUUGUAAAAUUUAAUAUGGGUCGGGUCGGGCCGAGCCUAGCCCAUGAUCACCUCUAGUUGGCUUAGGUUUGAGAGAGUUGAAGCUUAACCAGAAUCAAGUUUUUUUUUUUUUUUUUUACUUUAGUCCAAUUUUUAGAUCUUGUUUUUUUUUUCUUUUGAGAAAUAAAAAAUAGAUGCCAUCAAACUUGAAAAUUGAAUACAACCUCUGCAUGUGUACCACACAUCCUACUCUCCUACAUCUGUUAAUCGGUGGAGUAGUUCUUAAUUAAUUGAAAAGUUGUAUCAUACUCAAUUCUUACGGGACUUUAAUCAUCCGAUCUAAAAGAAACAAAGAAUCAAACCCUAAAAAUCAACUACAUCCUAAUUUUUAGAAAAAAAGAAAAAAAAAUCUAUCAAUUUCUCCUUUAGCAAUCCACUCUUUCAUCUACCACCAUCGUUCCACCUUGAAAUAAUCUAUACUUUUAGUAUCCUUGAUGGAAAUUCUUGUAGAAAAAAAAAUCGUUUUAUUCGGUUUUUUUUUAUAUAUAAGAUUGACCUUUUAGCUUAAAUAAAUAAUUGAACUCAUAAAUAAAGGCUUUUUUUAUAAAAAUAAUUCAAAAAUUUUUAUUAUUUAUGAAAACAAUCCAUUUUUUAUUAAACAUGUAAAUGAUCUAAAACCUAUAGUAAAAGUUGGUGGAGUCAAAGAGUUUGGCGUCACCAACAUACCAUAUCAGCAAACGAGAAAAAAAAUUUAUUUAUUUUGGUAGAACCAUGUAGAACGACAUCACUUAUAUAAAUAUUAUUUUUGAAAAAUUAGAAGAAUUUAAAAAAAAUACAUUUUUUCUAAUGAAGCUAAAUAAUUUAACGCUACAAAUUUCUAAAAUUACCUACAUCAUCUAUUUUUAAAAUAUCGUUAUUUGAUGUCAUUUAUGUAUUUAAUAAAAAUAAAUAAUCAAAUUUUUUUUUAUAAAAAAGCCUUAAUAGAUAAUUUAUCAAUUACCAAAUCAAUCAAACUAUUCAAUCAAACAAGGCAAGUUUUAGGCUCAUUCGGAAAAGCCACAGUCCACUCCCGCAGAGCAGCCAUAGCAUAUUUAAUUAUUCAAAAGCCGUGUGCCGUUCGACUAAAACAAAAUUCCAAAAAUAAAAACAAAAUUGCUUGUAGAAAAAGCUUUAGGUGGACACAAAAUUCCAAAAGGGCCAACAGAUUGUCCACACAUUGGGAAUAAAACUUGUUUGCAAUAUCUACAUUGGCAGCCAUACAAUAAAAUUGUAGGAAACUGACAUUAGUAGGCCAACCCUCAUUUUCAUUUCUUCCAAUUAACAGCUAUUUGAACACCCAACAGUCGUUGCUCGUAAUUGAUAGGAUAAGAUCAAACGAAAAAAUAAUAAUUAUUUGGAUCAAUUAUAUUCAACUUCACUAAAUUAUUAUUAAAUUUAUAUUUUAAUUAUUUAACUUUAAAAAAAUUAUAAGAUAGUUAUUGAAACAUUUAACAGUUUUCAUUUAAGUCAUUAAACUAUUUAAAAUUUUUUGUUUAAGUCAUUGAACUAUUAAGUUCUUUUUUAAAAAAAAAAAGUAGUUUGGCUUUUGAGGAUCAAGCGACAAUUCGAUGAACAGUACAAUGGAUCAAUACUCAUCAACGAGUAAAAGAACAUAUAUUAGACUAAGUCAAUUUGAUGGUCGGUAUUGAAAAACUGUUUGGAUUUUAGUUCGUAGAUACGUGAUAUUUAAAGUUGUUUUAUUAAAAAAUCCUAAAUUGUAGAAGAGUAAGGGCAAAGAGUUUAUUAUUGGUGCAGGUGAUGUCAACAAUAAAUGCCAUAUAACAAAAAUUUUAAUAGUUCAAUAACAUAAAUGAAAACUUUCGAAUAAUUUAAUGACCAUAUUGUAGCUUUUUAAAAUUAAUUGACCAAAAUAGUAAUUUAGUGACCUUUAGUGUUAUUUACUCUAAUUAUUUAUUAUUUUUACUGUGUUAUUUUUUAUACAAUACUUAAAUUACUCAUAAAUAAAUUUCACAAUCCGGAUAUUACACCCUUAUUAAGGUUGAAACCCACACCCCAAAUGUUUUUUGCCCGGUUAAUAAUUUUUUUUUAUCAAAAAUGAAAGGACCACUUAGAAAAUAUAGUAUAAAGAAUGUUGAAAGAAAAUAAGAGAAAAUAGACUAGUACAAUAAACAAUAAAUAAAUUUCUAAGCUUUAAAUAUAAAUCUUUCCUUAAAAUCCAUCAACUUAAUAAAUCGACGAAGAAUCAAUUAAUGUUGAGCUUCUUUGCAGGCUUGCAUUUGGAGAUGAAAGAAAGCUCCAACCCUACUAGCAACAACAUGAAAUUGGUAUAUCAUCUUUAAUCUAUACUAAUAAUAAUGAUAAAAAAGAACUUAAAAUAGAAAUUAUGAAAUGAUACUGCAAGUUUCUUUUUAGAAAAAAACGAAAAAGAAGUAGAGAAGUGACUAUUAUUUUAGAGAAAUAAAUUUCUAAUGCACCUAUUUAGAUAUAAGCAAAUUACUGUAUUUGGAUAGAGGGAAUGUGGCCUACUUCAUAGAAAUCCUCUCCUCUUUCAUCUAUCACUUUUAUUAUUUCUUUCAAUGACUAUUAACAUUGACCAAUUCCAAUCUUCAAAGGCAUGGCAUUGCACUCCUUCAACCCUGGUAGAAAUCUAAUUUCAAGAGCAUCAAGUUGAGGAAACCCAUUGGCAAAGCAUAUAAUCUUACUCUCAUCAUAUGUUAAACUCUCUAACUUCAGAAUCCUCAAACAAGGUAACUUUUCCAACACACCCAUUGGAUCAUGGAUCAUCAUAGAGUCAUCUAAAGUUAACUUGACAAUACUUGACGGAAGAAAUUCCAAAACAUGAUGGCUCUGAUGUGGAUCUUCUUUUAUAUGCCCUAUUAACUUCAAUUUGGAGAGGUGACGACACUAAUAAAGAGGUUCCAAUAUGAAGAAUGAGUUGACUUGUCAUGGUUCAUAUAGUCAAGCAAACACAUGUACAAUGACCCAAGGCGAUCCAAUAUGAUUAGCAACAGAAAGAUAGACUUAAUAUCUUUUGAACUCUUAAAUGUUAUUCCUAAACAUUGAAUACGAGUCAACCUAAGUGCCUCAUUAUUUUCAAUAAACUUCUUAUUUACCAUCAUGCGCUUCAAAGUUUCAAUAUUUUUUUGAAGAAAAGCUUUGGCACAGGAGAAAACAACUUUUUUAACAUGGGUAUGUAUACCAUUUCAUCACAAAUUGCCUUAAACAUUCCAACUUGAAUACUACAUUUGGAAUUACAGAGUCAUAAUGGCAUUAGAGGUACAAAGUGUGUAAAUUCUUCAACUAAUUUCCAAUAGCCCAUGGCAAGAGUAUUUUGAGUUUGCAUCUUAAGCUCAAAUGAUGGAGAUUACCAAUUUCACUUGACACAUGCAACUCCUCAACAUUCCUCGUAAGUUUCAAGAAAAGAAAAACUAACGUGAAAUUGAGAAAUUGAAAGGGAAAGUUUGAAACAAAAAGAAUCUACAGAGGUAGAAAAAAACUAGCAGCAAAUGUGAAAACAAAAGAAGAGUGGAAAAGAUGGGAAAGUGGGGAAGUUGGACAUGGGAUGGAGAAACGUGGGAGAAUUUUGGAGAAAUAUUUUUAAUUAAUUUUUUCUUAAAAAAAUAUUAUCCUAUAACCAACAUAAUUUUUUUGAUAACCUAUCUAUUUAUUCAUAAUUCAAAUUUAACUAAACCGGGAGCUCCAAAAAUAAUUUUUGCUUUACAGGGAUUCAAACACGAGAUUUCUAAGCAAGUUGAAACUUUAUUAUUAAACUACUAAAUUCAUUCUUAUUAAUAAUUAAGCAAAAAUAACAUAUUAGAAUAUAGGAAGUUGUUAAUUAGUUAUGAGUCUGGUAAGGUUGUUGUGAAGUAUAGACUGAAUAUUGACCCAAAUGCAAAUGGGGUUCCGUCGUCUAAUUUUGUUCAAGUUGAUCAAAGUGAUCCCGGCUCACCUGAACCGAUUGGCGUUGAUAGAGUUUUACGAUUUACCAAACCGCGUGCUCAGGUUUGACUGGGUUCGAACCAUGUAUUGGGCUUCCUCGGCUAGGGGACUUACAUGCAUCUGAGUAUUCCGAUCCUUCAGAAUCUGGCUCUCAUGUCAAUACUGCUCAACUUGGGUUUGGUACUAGUAAAGAUGACCCAUACGUUCCAGUGCAAGGUGGCACCACAACUUGGUAUCCUGACUCGGGAGCUAGUCAUCAUGUCUGUCGUGAUGUGUCAGCUUUACAUGAUGUCACACCAUAUUCAGGUACGUCAUCUCUUUUAAUGGGUGAUGGUACUCCUGCGGUAAUUUCGUCAAUUGGUACUGCUAUUUUACAUACUCAAUAUAAGUCGUUGCGAUUAUCAAAUGUCUUAUGUGUGCCAAGUAUACGGAAAAACCUCUUAUCCGUCUCACAGUUUGCUCGUGAUAAUGGUGUGUUUUUUUAGUUUCAUCCUAACCAUUGAGUUAUUAAGGAUACGGUGACUCGGGAGACAUUGCUGACGGGCCGCAUUCAUGAUGGACUUUAUCACUUUUCUGUGCCAGUGGGGUCUACUCCGUCUACGGUUGCUCCAUUUGUUGCUCAUUCGCAAGUUCCACAGUAGUUUCAAAUAAUAAUGUGUUUGCUUUAUGGCAUAAUCGUUUAGGCCACCCAUCAACUUCUGUGGUCAAAACAGUUUUAAAUAAAUGUAAUGUUGCUUCAAGUAAAAAUAGUUUGGAUGGUAUAUGUACUGCAUGUCAAAAAGGCAGGUCACAUAAGUUGCCCUUCUCCCCUUCGACUACUAGCUAUCGUCCUUUUGAGUUGGUUGUGUCUGAUCUUUGGGGUCCUGCACCUGUUGCAUGUGGUGAUAAAAGAUAUUAUGUUUCAUUUAUUGAUAUGAGUACUCGGUUUACUUGGGUUUAUCUUUUACGUCAAAAAGCUCAAGCACUAGAAUGCUUUACUCAGUUUCAACAGUUAAUUAAGACACAGUUUGGCAAGUCUAUUAAGCAGUUCCAGAGCGAUUGGGGAGGCGAAUACCGUGGUUUUACGUCUGUCUUAGAAUCUCAAGGAAUCAUACAUCGACUAACGUGUCCGUAUACUUCAGAACAAAAUGGAGUGGCUGAGCGUAAGCAUCGCCACAUUGUUGAAGUAGGUAUUACAUUGUUGGCUCACGAAAGUUUGCCUCUGGAAUACUGGGGGUAUGCGUUUUGCUGUGCAGUUCAUCUUAUAAAUCGACUUCCUACUGUUGUACUUCAAGACAGUUCUCCGUUUAAGGCACUAUAUGGACAUGAUCUGACCUAUGAUCAUCUUCGAGUGUUUGGCUGCUGUUGUUAUCCGUACUUACGUCCGUUUGUAAGGAAUAAAUUGGACUUUCGGUCUCAGCCGUCUACAUUGUUGGGAUACAGUCCUCGUCACAAGGGGUAUCAAUGUCUUUUACCAGAUGGUAAGGUUAUAAUAUCAAGGCAUGUGGUAUUUGAUGAACAGAGAUUUCUGUUUGCUGAGACUAUUCCAGACAAGUCUAUGUUGACGACCACUCAGACUAGUUCGACUACUGUUCCUUUCGUGUGGCCGUCUUAUUCCUCAACUCUUGAGCCUUGCAUGAUGACACAGUCUUUACAAGGGUUGCAAUCUCCGUCUGCUGAUCCUGCAUUAGGUGUUAAUUUAGAGCAGUCUCAGUCUCGUGAUUCUUCAGCUGAUAUCGGGACUGGGUCGGGUAAUCUCCCAGUUCAUGGUUCGUCAGCUAAUGAUGGGACUGAAUUGAGUGAUCCUCCAGCAGUGCAUGGCUCGGGAUCAUCAAGUGAUAAUUCUCAUUCUACUAUGAGAAUGUCUGCAGGUGUUUGAUCGGCAUCUGAUAGUCAGAUUAGUAGGCCACCUAUGGGUAAUACUUACCCAAUGGUCACUCGAGCUAAAGCGGGGGUUUACAAACCUAAGGUUUUAAAUGUUGAAGCUGUUGAACCGACUACGAUUGAAGAAGCUCUGGCUACUGUUGAGUGGCGCGAUGCUGCGCAAGCUGAGUAUGAUGCUCUUAUGUGUAAUUCCACAUGGGAGCUUGUUCCCACUCCGUCUAAUCGUAAGAUCAUUGGGUGCAAAUGGUUGUUCAGAAUCAAGAAGAAUUCUGAUGGUACUAUUGCUCGACAUAAGGCUCGUUUAGUCGCAAAAGGAUGCUCCUAAGUUCUAGGUUGUGACUUUAAGGAAACGUUUAGUCCAGUGGUCAAACCGGCUACUAUCAGAGUUAUUUUCUCUAUUGCUGUGUCUAAGUGGUGGUUGCUUCGGCAAGUUGAUGUGAAUAAUGCGUUUCUAAAUGGCGAUCUGGACACUGAAGUUUUUUUGCAUCAACCUCCUGGUUAUGUUCAAUAUGACUCACAUGGUAGACCUUUGGUGUGCCGUCUGAAGAAAGCGUUGUAUGGUCUUCGUCAGGCUCCUCGUGCCUGGUUUGAGAAGUUAAAAGGAUUUCUACUCUCUGUGGGGUUUGUGGUAUCAAAGUCUGAUGCUUCUUUGUUUGUUCGAGUGGUAUCAGCUUCAACAUUGUAUGUUUUGGUAUACGUUGAUGAUAUCAUUAUUACUGGUGAUGUGCCUUCUGUUAUAGAGUGGUUUGCUAAGUUGCUGAAUAAUAAGUUCUCACUUAAGGACAUGGGUGAUCUCCAUUAUUUUCUUGGGAUAGAGGUUACUCGUUCUUCCUCCGGUUGUCUUCAUCUAUGUCAGAAGAAGUAUAUUCGUGAUAUUCUCAUAAGGUGCUCGAUGGAAAAUGCGAAGAGUGUUCACACUCCGAUGAUUAGUUCCUCUAUCUUAACUAGAGAUGGUGGGGAACGUUUGGAGGAUCCAACUGAAUAUAGGAGUCUUGCAGGAGCAUUACAGUAUGUUACUCUUACGCGGCCUGACGUUGCGUAUGCUGUAAAUCGAAUAUGUCAGUUUAUGCAUUGUCCCACUUCCAUACAUAUGACCGCUCUGAAGCGGAUUUUGAGGUAUCUAGGUGGAACGAUUGAUUUUGGGAUUGUAUUUCGUCCGUCUACCUUUUUGUCAUUAGUUGGGUAUGCUGAUGCAAACUGGGGUUUAGAUUUUGAUGACCGGAGAUCUACUACUAGAUACUGUGUGUAUUUUGGACAUUCUCCUGUCUCGUGGUGUACGAAAAAAUAGCAGGUUGUUGCUUGGUCUACUGCUGAGGCAGAGUACCGAAGUCUUGCUGCAGUUACUAGUGAGGUUACGUGGCUUUUAUCGUUACUUCAAGAGUUGCAUGUUCAGUCUACUAGCAUUCCUGAUAUUUGGUGUGAUAGUUCUGGGGCGGUUGCAGUUGCUGCUAAUCCUGUUCUUCAUUCCAAGUUUAAGCACGUUGAGUUAGAUUUAUUUUUCGUUCGUGAAAAAGUAGCUAAUGGUAUUAUUGCUGUUGGCGAGGUUCUAGCUUGUGAUCAAGUUGUUGAUGUUCUUACUAAACCGCUUUCACUUUCGAAUUUUACUCGAUUUCGGAGUUUUCUACAGGUGUUACCUGUGGAGAAGAUGGAUGAAUAUUAGAAUAUAGGAAGUUGUUAAUUAGUUAUGAGUCUGGUAAGGUUGUUGUGAAGUUUAGACUAGUCAACAAAGUCUAUAAAUACUGUAAGUUGAGAAUUCAGAAGUAAGCAAUUUUGAAUACAAGAGAAAGAAAUUCAUUUUAUCCUCUCUUUUAUUUCUGUUUGGCUAGUUCUUUCAUAACAUAUAAUCGAAAUAUUCAAGGAUUGGGGACGGAACAAAAAAUAACAAAAAAUUUUUAAAAAAAAGAUUUGCCGUAACUUCUGUUUCAUCAGUAGGCUUGUCUCAUAUAUAUCAGAGUAAAACUGCUUACAAAUGUGAGGCUAAGAUUUUUACGUUUCAGAAACAUGUAUAUAUAAUGCUUCUUGGUUGGUCGAAAAUGAAGCAUAUAACACGGUUAUCUUAGUACAUAGAGUUCCCUGAAUUUACUACAUUUUGAUUUGUGUAACCUUAUUAAAACAAGUCUUCAAUAUCAGUUGCUACUUUGUUGUUAUUGUUUAUAGGAAGAAUAAAUUAUGUGAAACUCAACUUUCUUAAGCACACUAACUUUUGUGAAUUUAGAUUAAAAGGGAGUUUAGUUCACAAAAUAUUUGAUUAACUUGACAAUUAGUGCAUUACUAGAUAUGUUAAAGUACCGCGUUUGGUUCAAGGUAAAAGUUGAAAUAAUUCUAGACUCAAAGAUAUUUAAUUAUCGGUUUGUUCUUAGUAUAUAGUAAAUGAGUAAAAAGUUUUGAUUAAAAAAAACUUUAUGGAAUUAUUAAUAUAAUUGAUUAAACAGUUAAAAAUUUUAAAAUGAUUAAUGUCGACUCUUUUUAUAAAAUAUUCGGGUGGGGAUUGGUAUAAAUCUGUUAAAAAAAUUUAAUCAUCAUUCCACAUAAGUCAAGGUUAAUAUAAAUCUGUUUUAUAUAUUUUGUUAUAAGAAAACGCACAUAUUUUUGUUAUGUCAUAUAAAUAUACAUGUUAUAUGUUUUGAUUAACAUUGUAUCAUCUAAUUUUUAAUUGAAAUAGUGAGUUGUAAAUUUAAAUCGGUUAUUUUACUAUUUAAAUAAUGAAUUUAACCAUUUAACAUCUAAUGAGUUAUUUAGAAUUUCUUUCUUCGGUUUAAAUUGAUUAAUUUCAAUUAAAUAGAUGCAAAUGAAGAACCAAUUAAUAAGAAGAUAAUUUUUUAAAAAAAUAAGCAAAUUGGGAGGCCGGAAACGAGCCUUAGAUAUAUAGCAAACAAUCACUUCAUUCAAAGCUCAUGGUAUAUAGCAAUCCAAUUCUUAUAAAAAUACAUAUACACACUUAAUGAAAUUAGAUAUCUCGGGAAAGUGCAUUCUAGUGCUGAUUAGAUAACCUGCAUCAAGAAGAAAAAUGGUAUGUACAUAUCAUCAUCUCUUAUGUAUAAUAAUUAAAAAUAUGAAAUAAUAAAAUGAUACUAAAAUUUUAGUUUUUCUAGAAAAUGAUUCGAAAUUCUUAUUUUUUUAUAUUUUAAUUACAAUUUUUAUGGUAAUUAAAGAUAUAUUCAUCUAUUGUAUUAUUUUAUCAAUAUUAUAUUAAUCUCUAACUCUAUGGGUGAAAAAGAAAAGAAAAAAGAAUGUAAAAAUUAUUAUUUUAUAGAAAUAAAUACCUCACCUGAUGUUGGCUCCUAUUAUUUUGGCAUCAAAAAAUGUCGGAUGAAGGGAAUGUGGCGCACUUUAUAGAAUUCCUCUCCUUCUCUUCCAUCUAUCACUUUAAUCCUUUCUUUCAAUGACGAAGAUAUUCCUAUUAAAUUCAAUUUUUGGAGAGUAGUCAUGUAUCUCAAUCCUUCUGGAAGCAUCCUUAAACUCUCAACAUUGGCCAACGUCAAUUCUCGAAGGCAUGGCAUUGCACCUUCUUCUAUUUCCCACUCCUCCAACAUAAUUAACAUAAUUAAAAGAUAAUCAAGUUUAGGAAAUCCAUUUGCAGAGCACACCAUUUUACUCCCAAUAUAUGCUCCCUUCAAAAAGAGAAUCCUCAAAUGACAUAGCUUUUCUAAUACCGCCAUUGGAUCUUGUCUCAGCCCACAGUCAAACAAAGUUAAUUUGACAAUAUUUAAUGGAAGAAAUUUCAAAACAUGACCGUUCGGAUGUGGCUCUUCUUUUAUCGGACCCAGUAAUUUCAGUUUGGAGAGGUGAUAAUAUUGAGAAAGGGGUUCUAAGUCUAGGUGUGAGCAAUAAAAAAAACAUAAGGACACUGACCUAAGGCGUUGCAAUUUGGCUAGCAAGAUUAGGGUAGGCUUCACAUAUUCUGCUCUGGUAAAUUCUAUUCCUAAACUCUGAAUAUUAGUCCACCUAAGCACCGCAUUAUUUUCAGCCGCCUUCUCAUCCACCACUAUGAACUUCAAAGUUUCAAUAUUUUUUGAAGUGAACCCUUGCCGCCAACGAAAUCCAUCUACGUGGAAUUUCCCAACCGAUUUUAUUACAAUAUGCCUUAAACGUUCUAACUUAAACACACCAUCUGGAAUUACAAUGUCAUCACAAAACUUGAUGUAUAAAGUGUACAGAUUCUUCAACCUGCCAAUAGAUCGCGGCAAAAUCACUUUGUUAUUGUAGUAAAACUUCAAGUAUCUCAAAUGUUGGAGAUUACCAAUUUCAGUCGACACAUGCCACGGCUGAUUGCAGUCGCUCCUUUUUGCAAGAGUCAACACCCUUAAAAAUUUGAAGCUUUUGUAUUUUGAAAUGCACAAUUCUACCAAUAUCUCAGAAUGAGAAAACAACAAAGAGCGUAAUUUUGGAUGCUUUCCCUUCAAAUAAACUUUCGAUUCACUAGGAUGAGUAGAAAUUCUUCGUAGCAUAGAUUCUGCCAAUGUCACUUCAAGUUCAUGCAGUGGUUGUUGAAUAAUUUCCAAGAACUUCUCCUCUCUUGCUUUCUUCAUGCAAAAGUCCCUCAAGAGAUCAUGCACUCGACAUGUCUCCACAUUUGUUCCUGUAUAGUCUCGCGUGCUAACUUGAACCAAGCUCCUAUCUAUAAGCUCUUCUAGGAAUUUUUCGCCUAAAUCCUCCAUCAAGAAUUCUUCGUUUUCCGGAAUGAAACCUUCAGCGAUCCAUAAACGAAUGAGUUCUUUUUUCGGUAUCUCCCAAUCUUCUGGAUAAUGACUAAGAUACAAAAAGCAGGGUUUUAAAGGAUAAGGCAAGUCAUUGUAGCUUGAAACCAAAAUUCGGUUCACUGCACCAUAUUGACGAUCUUGGUGUGGGAGCUCAUUUAAGUGUCCAUGGAUGUUUUUAUGAACCAUCUCCCAUUGAGCCACGGACUGUUUUGUUGCCAGCAAGCAACCCAACACAACAAUUGCUAAAGGCAAGCCUCCACAUUUUUUCACCAUGUCUUUUCCAAGCUUCACAAAUUCUUCUGAGCAGCAUUGAGAACCCAUUUUGCUCCGUGGGAAUGCUUUCUUACACAAAAGAUUCCAACUUUCAUCAUCCGUAAGAAAUGAGAGCUCGAUGGGAGUGUUGCAAGAAUCGGCUCGUGAAGCCACAUUCCUGUUGCGUGUUGUGAACAAUAUUUUGCUUCCCUUUCUUCCUCGUGGAAAAGCAGGUUUAAGAAUAUCCCAGUCCUCGCUUCUCCAAAUAUCAUCGAGGACCACCAAAUACCGCUUUUCUUUCAAAGCAUCAAAAAGCGUUCUCGUCAGCUCAAUCUCGUCCAUUUUCUUAAUUUUCUCUCUAUCAUUGUUAGAAGGAGAGAGAAAUUUCUUCAAGACACUAAGCAAAACCUCUCUCGGCUUACAUUGUUGAGAGAUAGAAAACCAAGCCAAGAAAUCAAAAUGGCGUCUCACAUCAACAUGAUUAUAUACUUUUCUGGCAAGAGUAGUCUUACCGAGGCCCCCCAUGCCGACUAUGGAAACUACGGCGUGGGGUCUAUCUUCUUCAGUCAUCAAUUUGGUCAUGACAUCCUUGGUGCUAACCUCCAAGCUAACAACGUCCUCUUCCUCGACAUGUGAGUAUGCCCUUCUUAACCGUUGCUGCACCUUGAAAAUUGAGCUAGAGCCUUCUCCAUCACCGGGUAUCUCAAAAGCUGGAAGAUUCUCGGAAAUGUUUUGGAGCUCGGUCUUGAUUGCUUUGAGCUGCACCCCGAUUUUGUGCAGAUGAUAAGGUUUGGUGAAAAUGGAGGUGAAUCUCUUGACAAUCCCAUGAGAAUCUCGUUGAUAUGCUGCUUUAAGAAUAAAAGAGUCGAUGACAUCUUCAGCAUCAUAAGCAAGAUCUCUGAUUUCCGACACCCGAUUCUGGAAACGCGCAUCUUGUUCAAGAUUGCGAUCCGCGUCCUUCAAGAAACACUGCAUUCGCUUCAGUUCAGCCCUUAGACUCUCAACUUGAUCUUUCACAUCUUUGAGGAAAACAGCUUCAUGGAUGAGUAAAUCUGAAAUUCUUUCAACAGCUAAGGACACAAUAGCCUCUUCCAUUUCUCCUGCUGGUCCAGAACAGAUUCCACAAACUGAACUGCAAGUAUUAGUAGAAUAUUUUAUGUAUUAGUGGAGAAGUAUUUCUCUUUAUCAGAAGUUUUGAAGAGCUGUUUUUGGGGGUGAGGUUGGUAAUUAACUUAUUAUUAUUAUUAUGGAACGUAACUUUUUUUUAAAUAAAAUAACAUAUAUUAUCGAUAACCCUUGUUCUAAGUUGGUCAAAGUCCUUCUAACAUCGAUCUUGCUUCAAUUUUAAGUACUUCAUAUUUUCUUAAUGUCAUUGACUAACCACAUAACUAAUUACUAUUAGCAUCUUUAAUGAUUUCUUCAAUUACAACCGAAAUUGCACCAUCUGUAUUAAGCUUAACUAAAUCACUUUUUGAAGCUAAUCAUUUUGAAUCAAAAGCCAUAGAAUUCGAAUGGAACAUAGUCAUUGAGGGUGACGAAUAACUUCUCGUCUAACUAAUACCUGUAUCUACCUCAUCCUGAACAGAGCUAUGACUAUCAAAAAGUACAAACAUAUCCCUAUUUUUUUAUAAUAACCAACAUAUUUUUAUUGCUUAAUAGUAAUGUUUAUAUAUAAAAUAUAGAGUAAAUCAAAUUUAUUUUGCUAUCAAUAGAUGUUGAUUUAAUAAUGAAAAAUUCAUAACAAUUAUAAAAUAAUUUCUUCCAAUUAAAAAGCAAUUUUUAAAAAGGACUAAAAGAAAACUCGCUUGUUUUUUUUUUAUUCUUUUUAAGAAAGAAAAGGUUAGGUGUACACAAAAUUCCAAAAGCACAAUAGAUUUUCCACGUUGAAAACAAAAGCUGCUUUCAAUUUCCACAUUGGAUUCCACACAAAAUCGAUAAAGUAAAAUGGCAUGUGAAGAAAAAUUAUAAUCACUCACGUUAGUAGGCCAACCCUCAUAACAGUCAUUUCUCAUAACUGAUCUUAUAAGAGUGAGUUUAGAUGGGCGGUGCGUCUAUUUAUUAUUAGUGUAAAAAUAACGGUGGCGAUGAGAUUAAAUACUAUAGCAACAUUAUAGCGUGAGACAAAAAGUAGGUCAAACGCACCGUACCGCACCUAAUCGCCCAUCCAAACCCACCUUAAGACAAAAAAAAAGGGUUAAUUACUCGGGUAAAUUAUACUUAAGGUCACUAAAUUGUUAAUAAAUUUAUGUUUUGAUCAUUUAACUUUAAAAGUUUUAAAAUGAUUAUUGAACUAUUUGAAAGUUUUUAUUUUAGUCACUGAUCUAUUCAACAAUUUUAUUUAAGUCAUUAAACUAUUAGUUUUUUUUAAAAGUCUGAUUAGCUAGGUUAAAGUGACAAUUCGAUGAAUAGUACAAUAGAUCAGUACUUAUCCACGAGUAGAAUAACAUAUACUAGAUCAAGUCAAUUUGAUAGUUGGUGCCGAAGAACGGAAAGCAAAACUAUUUAAAUUUGGAUUCGUAGAUACGUGACAUUUGAAAUUGUUUUAUUAAAAAAAAACUUAAACUAUAGACAAGCAGGGGUAGAAGAGUUAGCGGGCAAACAAUGAAGGACAUAUAGUAGUGAUUUUAACAACUUAAUGACUUAAAGAAAACUUUUGAAUAAUUUAGUGACAAUUUUGUAACUUUUUAAUGUUAAAUGACUAAAACGUAAACUUACUAGUAGUUUAAUGACCUUGAAUGUAGUUUACUCCAAUUAUUUAUUAUUUUUACUGUGUUGUUUUUUAUGCAUUACCUAAAUUACCCAUCAAUAAACUUCACAAUUCCAAAAAGUGAAGGAUAGUACGCGUUUAUUAACGUUCAAACCCAUGUCCUUCAAUUCUUUUUUGCCCGGCCAAUAUAAAAUUUUAUCCAGAACGAAAGGACGACUUGGAAAACAACAGUACAAAGAAUGUUGAGAGAAAAUAACACAAUCACGAAUUUUUUUUAAUUUUAAUGGUGAAAAAGAGGGUUUUAAGAAGAGAAAUUUAUUUAUUUGAGGGAGUUCCAUAUAUAAUUUAAAUUUAGAAUUUCAAAAUUCAUAACAACUCAAUCUUAUCCGUGAAAAAAAAGUUGUGCAAUAAUUUUUACUUGGUUUGUUCCUACAAUAGUUAUAUUAGAGUUUAUCACGUAUGGAUCUGUGUUUGUUCUUCUUUUAGGGUGAGUUUAGAUGGACAGUAAAGUGCGGUGUAGCGGUGCAAUACGUUUAGUUUUUUUUUUUCUCACGUUAUAGUCUCGCUACAGUAUCUAAUCUCACUGCCAUUGCUAUUAUUACACUAACCGCAGGUAAAUGCACCGCCCAUCCAAACUCACCCUUAGUUUAUCACAUAUGCUCGUCCCUUUCCUUUCCCUUUUAUAGAUAGUACGAGGUGUUAUUGGUUCGAAUUGAGUUUAUAUUUAUUUAAAAUUGAUCCAGUUUAAAAACUUAUUUGCAUAUGUUAGUCUAUUUUAAACCUGUAAUUUUUAAAUAUAUAUUAUUCUUAAUUUAAUAUUUAAUAUUUCUAAUAAUAUUUUUUAUUAAAAUUGAAAUUUAUCAAUAUUUUUAUGUUUAAAUAAAAUUUAUAUAAAAGUCUAAAGUGGGUUGGGUUUAGAGGUGAUCAUGGGUUGGGCUACCCGGCCCGGCCCGAAGGUCUGCUCGAAAAAUAGGAGGGUUCGAGUAAAAAUAUAGGCCCGAAAUAUGAGUUUGGGCAAAAAAAGAGGCCCGUUUAGAAAACGGGUCAGGCCUCAGGUAAAACUAUUUUGGCCCGGGCCCGAAUCAUAUAUUAAAUAUAUAUAUAUUUUUAUUUUUAAUCAAAAAUACCUCUAAUUCUGGUUGGUUGAUUAUAUUUUGCAGGUUUUUGAUCUAUUUUGGUGUUGUAAAAUUUAAUAUGGGUUGGGCCAGGCCCGGUCCAUGAUCACCUCUAGUUAGGUUAGGUUUGAGAAAGUUGAAGCUUAACCAGAAUCUUUUUUUUUUUACUUUAGUCCAUUUUUCAGAUCUUAUUUUUUUUUUCUUUUGAGAAAUAAAAAAUAGAUGCCAUUAAACUUGAAAAUUAGAUACAACCUCUGCAUGGGUACCACUCAUCCUACUCUCCUACAUCCGUUAAUCGAUGGAGUAGUUCUUAAUUAAUGCAAAAGUUGCCUAAAAGAAACAAAGAGAAUAUAAAAGAAUCAAACCCUAAAAAUCAACUACAUGCUAAUUUUUAGAAAAAAAAAAACCUAUCAAUUUCUCCUUUAGCAAUCCACUCUUUCAUCUACCACAAUUGUGCCACCUUGAAAUGAUCUAUACUUUUAGUAUCCUUGAUGGAAAUUCUUGUAGAGAAAAGAAAUCGUUUUAUUCGUUUUUUUAUAUAUAAGAUGGACCUUUGAGCUUAAAUAAAUAAUUGAGAGGCUUUUUUUUAUAAAAAUAAUUCAAAGAUUUUGGUUAUUUAUGAAAUAAUUCAUUUUUUUAUUAAAUAUGUAAAUGAUAUAAAACCUACAGUAAAAGUUGGUGGAGUCAAAGAGUUUGGCGUCACCAACAUACCACGUCAGCAAUCGGGAUAAAAAAAUUUAUUUUUUUAGUAGAACCAUGUAGAGUAACAUCACCUGUAUAAAUACUAAAAAAAUACCGCUAUGUUUGAAAAAUUGGGGUACCUUAAAAGAAAAAACUUUUUUUCUGGUGAAGCUAAAUAAUUUUACGCUACCAAUUUCUAAAAUUACCUGCGUCAUCCAUUUUUAAAAUGUAGUUAUAUAUUUUAUGUCAUUUAUGUAUUUAAUAAAAAUAAGUAAUCGAAUUUUUUUUGAUUAUUUUUAUAAAAAAAGCCUUAAUAGAUAAUUCAUCAAUUACCCAAUCAAUCAAACUAUUAAUCAAACAAGACAGGUUUUAGCUUCACUCGGAAAAGCCACAGUCCACUCCCGUAGAGCAGCCAAAACAUAUUUAAUUAUUCAAAAGCCGUGUGCCGUUCGACUAAAACAAAAUUCCAAAUCAAGAAGCAAUUUUUUAAAAUAAAAACAAAAUUGCUUUUAGAAAAAGCUUUAGGUGGACACAAAAUUCCAAAAGCGCCAACACAUUUUCCACACAUUGGGAAUAAAACUUGUUUGCAAUUCAUAAUUGAUAGGAUACGACCAAAAGAAAAUAAAGAUAAUUAUUUGGAUAAAUUAUACUCAACCUCACUAAACUAUUAACAAAUUUAUAUUUUAAUUAUUUAACUUUAAAAAAUUAUAAGAUAAUUAUUAAACUAUUCAAUAGUUUUUAUUUAAGUCAUUGAACUAUUAAGGUUUUUUUUUAAAAAGUAGUUUGACUAGCUAGGUUCAAGCAACAAUUCAAUGAACAGUACAAUAGAUCAAUACUCAUUAACGAGUAUGUCGAAACCGCCUUUUCGAAAAUAAAAAUUUAGUUGUCGACUUUAAAAAUAAAAACUGAAGUUGCCACCGAUCCUUGAUUGAGGUGCGAUCGGUUCACCUUAAAAACAAUUUCGGCCUGCGAAAUUUGAGAAAACAAGUUCGGGAGUCAGUUACGCACGAGGAAGAGUUAGCACCCUUGUAACGCCCAAAAUCGGUACCAAAUUGAUUAUUUAAUAUCUUGGUGUCGAAAAUUUAAAAAGAUUUUAAAAUCAACUCAAAUGAUGAAAUUUGAAAAAGGAUAAUCAAUUGUUCAAGUCAUGUAAAGAAAUCGAGUCCCAAUACGUUAGGGUACAAUUCCUCAUAAUCCCCGAACUUUGAAUAUCACUUUUAUUUUAUGUAAAAAUCUUCAUUUUGAGAAAGUAAUAUGUCACACCCAAUACGUUAGGACACAACAAAUUAAGUUCCCGAAAAUAAUUUUUUAUACUCAUGCAUUUUGAAUAAAGAAUAUUCUCAGCUAUUUAAGAUAAACAAAGAAAAUCGGAACCCAAUACGUUAGGACUCAAUUUCCUAGAAAAUCCCAAACUUUGAAUAUUCCUUUAUUUAGGAAAAAAAACUUUGAAUCACGGGUAAAACUUUGAUGUAUUGUCAAAUCCAAAAUAUAUUUUCUAAAGGAUAUGUUAAAAAGUUGAUGUACAAUAUGAAACAAAACUUUAGUUUAAAAACAUAUGUGAAUAAAUAUCUGCAAAAUAUAUACAUACAAGUACAAUAUACAAGUAAAUUUGCAAAUGUGUGUACACAUAUAUUUAACACACAUAUACAAGGAUACCUAUAAAAAAUGGAAUGGAAUAUAUCAAUCAAAGACUAAUAAAAAAAUGCAUGUAUGUAUUUAAAAAUCGAAAAUAAACAAAAAGUAUGUAUAUGUAUAUGUAUAUAUAUUUACAAAAUAAAAAUGUAUAAGUAUAUAUGUGUUGGAAAAUCAUGAAAAUACGUAUAUGUAUAUUAAAACACUUAUAUAUAUAUAUGUAUAAUAAGUAUAUAAAUAAUGGGAUAUGUAUAGGAUAAUAUAUAUUUAUAAAAAAUGUGUAUUUUGAAUCGUAAAAUAUGGGAAACACGUGCAUUUUGAAAGGGAACGUUUGAAACAAAAAGAAUCAACAGAGGUAGAAAAAAACUAGCAGCAACAAAACUAAUGUGAAAACAAAAGAAGAGUGGAAAAGAUGGGAAAGUGGGGAAGUUGGACAUAUGGGAUGGAGAGACGUGGGAGAAUUUUGGAGAAAUAUUUUUAAUUAAUUUUUUCUUAAAAAAAUAUUAUCCUAACCAACAUAAUUUUUUUGAUAACCUAUCAAUUUAUUCAUAAUUCGAAUUUAACUAAACCGCUAACACAUGGGCAGCACACUUAGGGAGUUCCAAAAUUAAUUUUUGCUUUACAGGGAUUCAAACACGAGAUCUCUAAGCAAGCUGAAACUUUAUUAUUAAACUAGUAAAUUCAUUCUUAUUAAUAAUUAAGCAAAAAAUAUAUAUAAUUUAAAUAUUCAAGGAUAGGGGAUGGAACAAAAAUAAAAAAUUAAAAAAAAAAAGAUUUGCCUUAACUUUUGUUUCAUCAGUAGGCUUGUCUCAUAUCAGAGGAAAACUGCUUACAAAUGUGAGGCUAAGAUUUUUACGUUUCAGAAACAUGUAUAUAAAUGCUUCUCGGUUGGUCGAAAAUGAAGCAUAUAACACGGUUAUCUUAGUACAUAGAGUUCCCUGAAUUUACUACAUUUCGAUUUGUGUAACCUUAUUACAAAAACAAGUCUUCAAUAUGAGUCCCUACUUUGUUGUUAUUGUUUAUAGGAAGAAUAAAUUAUGUGAAACUCAACUUUCUUAAGCACCCUAACUUUUGUGAAUUUAGAUUAAAAGGGAGUUUAGUUCACAAAAUGUUUGAUUAACCUGACAAUUAGUGCAUUACUAGAUAUGUUACAGUACCGCGUUUGGUUCAAGGUAAAAGUUGAAAUAAUUCUAGACUCAAAGAUAUUUGAUUAUGGGUUUGUUCUUAGUAUAUAGUAAAUGAGUAAAAAGUUUUGAUUAAAAAAACUUUAUGGAAUUAUUAAUAUCAUUAAUUAAACAGUUAAAAAUUUUAAAAUGAUUAAUGUCGACUCUUUUUAUAAAAUAUUCGGGUGGGGAUUAGUAUAAAUCUGUUAAAAAAUUUUAAUCAUCAUUCCACAUAAGCCAAGAUUAGUAUAAAUCUGUUUUAUACAUUUUGUUAUAAGAAAUCGUACAUAUUUUUGUUAUGUCAUAUAAAAGUAUACAUGUUAUAUGUUUUGAUUGACAUUGUAUCAUCUAAUUUUUAAUAGAAAUAGUGAGUUUAAAAUUUAAAGGGGUUAUUUUACUAUUUAAAUAAUGAAUUUAACCAUUUAACAUCUAUUGAGUUAUUUAGAAUUUCUUUCUUCGGUUUAAAUUGAUUAAUUUCAAUCAAAUAGAUGCAAAUGAAGAACCAAUUAAUAAGAAGAUAAAAUUUUGAAAAAAUAAGCAAAUUGGGAGGCCGGAAGCCAGCAUUAGAUAUAUAGCAAACAAUCACUUCAUUCAAAGCUCAUACUAUAUGGCAAUCCAAUUCUUAUAAAAAAUACAUACACACACUUAAUGAAAUUAGAUAUCUGGGCAAAGUGCAUUCCAUAGCUGAUUUGGUAAACCUACAUCAAGAAAAAAAAUGGUAUGUAUAUAUCAUCAUCUCUUAUGUAUAAUAAUUAAAAAUAUGAAAUCAUAAAAUGAUAUUAAAAAUUUAGUUUUUCUAGAAAUAUAUUCAAAAUUCUUAUUUUUUUUAUAUUUUAAUUAUAAUUUUUAUGGUAAUUAAAGAUAUAUUCUUCUAUUCCGUUAUUUUAUCAAUAUUAUAUCAAUCUCUAACUCUAUGGGUGAAAAAGAAAAGAAAAAAGAAUGUAAAAAUUAUUAUUUUAUAGAAAUAAAUACCUCACGUGAUGUUGGCUCCUAUUAUUUUGGAAUAAAUAAUGUGGAUAGAGGGAAUGUGGCGCACUUUAUAGAAUUCCUCUCCUUCUCUUCCAUCUAUCCCUUUAAUCCUUUCUUCCAACGACGAAGACAUUCCUCUUAAAUUCAAUUCUUGGAGAGUAGUAAUGUAGCUCAAUCCUUCUGGAAGCAUCCUUAAACUCUUAAUAUAGACCAACUCCAAUUCUCGAAGGCAUGGCAUUGCACCUUCUUCUAUUACCCACUCCUUCAACUGAGGUAAGCACCACAUAUGAAGAUAAUCAAGUUUAGGAAAUCCAUUUGCAGAGCACACCAUUUUACUCCCAAUAUAUGCGUCCUUCAAAUAGAGAAUCCUCAAAUGACAUAGCUUUUCUAAUACCGCAAUUGGAUCUUGUAUGAGCUUACAGUAAAACAAAGUUAAUUUGACAAUAUUUGAUGGAAGAAAGUUCAAAACAUGACCGUUCGGAUGUGGCUCAUCUUCUAUCCCACCCACUAGUUUCAGUUUGGAGAGGUGAUAAUAUUGAGAAAGGGGUUCUAAGUCUAGGUGUGAGACAUCAAAAAAACAUAAGGAUACUGACCUAAGGCGUUGCAAUUUGGCUAGCAAGAUUAGGGUAGGCUUCACAUAUUCUGCUCCGGUAAAUGCUAUUCCUAAACUCUGAAUAUUAGUCCACCUAAGCACCGCAUUAUUUUCAGCCGCCUUCUCAUCCACCUCUAUGAACUUCAAAGUUUCAAUAUUUUUUGAACUGAACCCUUGCCGCCAACGAAAUCCAUUUUCGGACAAUAGCUCAUUAUCCAUUUUUAUUACAAUAUGCCUUAAACGUUCUAACUUAAACACACCAUCUGGAAUUACAAUGUCAUCACAAAACUUGAUGUAUAAAGUGUACAGAUUCUUCAACCUGCCAAUAGAUCCAGGCAAAAUCACUUUGUUGUUGUAGUAAAACUUCAAGUAUCUCAAAUGUUGGAGAUUACCAAUUUCAGUCGACACAUGCCACCCGUAGUUGCUCCUUUUUGCAAGAGUCAACACCCUUAAAAAUUUGAAGCUUUUGUAUUUUGAAAUGCACAAUUCUACCAAUUUCUCGGAAUGAGAAAACAACAAAGAGCGUAAUUUUGGAUGCUUUCCCUUCAAAUAAACUUUCGAUUUACUAGGAUGAAUAGAAAUCCUUCGUAGCAUAGAUUCUGCCAAUGUCACUUCAAGUUCAUGCAGUGGUUGUUGAAUAAUUUCCAAGAACUUCUCUUCUCUUGCUUUCUUCAUGCACAAGUCCCUCAAGAGAUCAUGCACUCGACAUGUCUUCACAUUUGUUCCUGUAUAGUCUCGCCUGCUAACUUGAACCAAGCUCCUAUCUAUAAGCUCUUCUAGGAAUUUUUCCCCUAAAUCCUCCAUCAAGAAUUCUUCGUUUUCCGGAAUGAAACCUUCAGCGAUCCAUAAACGAAUGAGUUCUUUUUUCGGUAUCUCCCAAUCUUCUGGAUAAUGACUAAGAUACAAAAAGCAGGGUUUUAAAGGAUAAGGCAAGUCAUUGUAGCUUGAAACCAAAAUUCGGUUCACUGCACCAUAUUGACGAUCUUGGUGUGGGAGCUCAUUUAAGUGUCCAUGGAUGUUUUUAUGAACCAUCUCCCACUGAGCCACUGACUGUUUUGUUGCCAGCAAGCAACCCAACACAACAAUUGCUAAAGGCAAGCCUCCACAUUUUUUCACCAUCUCUUUUCCAAGCUUCACAAAUUCUUCUGAGCAGCAUUGAGAACCCAUUUUGCUCCGUGGGAAUGCUUUCUUACACAGAAGAUUCCAACUUUCAUCAUCCGUAAGAAAUGAGAGCUCGAUGGGAGUGUUGCAAGAAUCGGCUCGUGAAGCCACAUUCCUGUUGCGUGUUGUGAACAAUAUUUUGCUUCCCUUUCUUCCUCGUGGAAAAGCAGGUUUAAGAAUAUCCCAAUCCUCGCUUCUCCAAAUAUCAUCGAGGACCACCAAAUACCGCUUUUCUUUCAAAGCAUCAAAAAGCGUUCUCGUCAGCUCAAUCUCGUCCAUUUUCUCAAUUUUCUCCCUAUCAUUGUUAGAAGGAGAGAGAACUUUCUUCAAGACACUAAGCAAAACCUCUCUCGGCUUACAUUGUUGAGAGAUAGAAAACCAAGCCAAGAAAUCAAAAUGGCGUCUCACAUCAACAUGAUUAUAUACUUUUCUGGCAAGAGUAGUCUUACGGAGGCCCCCCAUGCCGACUAUGGAAACUACGGCGUGGGGUCUAUCUUCUUCAGUCAUCAAUUUGGUCAUGACAUCCUUGGUGCUAACCUCCAAGCUAACAACGUCCUCUUCCUCGACAUGUGAGUAUGCCCUUCUUAACCGUUGCUGCACCUUGAAAAUUGAGCUAGAGCCUUCUCCAUCACCGGGUAUCUCAAAAGCUGGAAGAUUCUCGGAAAUGUUUUGGAGCUCGGUCUUGAUUGCUUUGACCUGCACCCCGAUUUUGUGCAGAUGAUAAGGUUUGGUGAAAAUGGAGGUGAACCUCUUGACAAUCCCAUGAGAAUCUCGUUGAUAUGCUGCUUUAAGAAUAAAAGAGUCGAUGACAUCUUCAGCAUCAUAAGCAAGAUCUCUGAUUUCCGACACCCGAUUCUGUAAACGCGCAUCUUGUUCAAGAUUGCGAUCCGCGUCCUUCAAGAAACACUGCGUUCGCUUCAGUUCAGCCCUUAGGCUCUCAACUUGAUCUUUCACAUCUUUGAGGAAAACAGCUUCAUGGAUGAGUAAAUCUGAAAUUCUUUCAACAGCUAAGGACACAAUAGCCUCUUCCAUUUCUCCUGCUCGUCCAGAACAGAUUCCACAAACUGAUCUGCAAGUAUUAGUAGAUUAUUUUAUGUAUUAGUGGUGGAAGUAUUUCUCUUCAUCAGAAGUUUUGGAGAUUUAUUUUUGGGGGUGAGGUUGAUAGUUAUUUUUCUUUGGACAGUAAAUAGCUGAACAUAUUAUUAUUAUGAUUAUUAUUAUUAUUAUUAUUAUUAAUGUGAAGAAAACGUAAGGUAAAGUUAUCAUCACUGACAUUAUAAAAUUAUUAUAAAAUUAAUAGGCCAACCUCAAUUCAAUUCUUCCAAAAAAAUAUUAUUCAAAUAUUCAAAAGUUUUUAUUUAAGUUACUAAAUUAUUUAAAAAAUUUUAUUUAAAUAAUUGAACUAUUAAGUCUGUUGACACCAUUUUUUUGAUGAAAACGGGGUCAACUUGGGUUUUAAAAAGUGAAAAUGAAAACGGGAAUCGCCACAAAUCCUUUUUGAUAAGGUGUGAUCCGGUCACCUUGAAAAGUGGUUGUAUUUAAUAAACGAUUUGACUUUAUUAAAACAACGAUUUUGGUCCACAAAAUUUAGAAAAACAGGUUUGAGAGUCGGUUAUGCACGAGGAAAUAUUAGCACCCUCGAUACGCCCAAAAUUGGUACCUAGUUGAUUACUUAUGUCUUAGUGUCGAAAAAUUGAAAACUUUAAAGAGAUUUAAAAUACGAUCCUAAAAAACUUGAAUGACAUGGAUUAAGAUUUAAGAGUAUAUUUGGCUAUUUGGUCCAACGAGAAAUCGAAACCCAGCACAUUAGGGCACGUUUUCUCGAAGUUCCAAACGCAAAACAUUGCCUUAUUUUGAAAUUAUUAAAAGGAUAUUUGGAUAUUUGGUCAAACGAGAAAAUCGAAACCCAACACAUUAGGGCACAUUUUCUCAAAUCUCCAAGCGCAAAACAUUACCUUACUUUGAAAAUUUAAAAGGAUAUUUAGCUAUUUGGUCGAACGAAAAAAGUCGAAACCCAGCACAUUAGGGCACGUUUCUCAAAUCUCCAAACGCAAAAUAUUACCUUACUUUGAAAAUUUAAAAGGAUAUUUAGCUAUUUGGUCGAACGAAAAAAAUCGAAACCCAGCACAUUAGGGCACGUUUUCUCAAAUCUCCAAACUCAAAAUAUUACCUUACUUUGAAAAUUUAAAAGGAUAUUUAGCUAUUUGGUCGAACGAAAAAAAUCGAAACCCAGCACAUUAGGGCACGUUGUCUCGAAUUUCCAAAUGCAAAACAUUGCCUUUAUUAUUUUUUAGAAAAAUCCUCAUCCCGAGAAAACAACGUGUCAUAUCCAAUGCGUUAGGACACAACGUAUUGAAUUCCCGAUAAUGAGCUUUUUAUUUAUGUUUUUAAAAGAGUAACCUCGAUUAUUUAGAUUCAACGAAGAAAAUCAGAACCCAAUACGUUGGGGCUCGAUUCUCUCGAAGAUCCCAAAUAUCGAGUAUUACUUAUGUUUUGAAGUUUUUCAUUUUUUUGUCAAACCCGAGUGAAAAUGGAUGUAAAACCAUGAUAAUGAUGAUAAUGUAAAUAAAUAACACGAGCGAAACAAAAGAUAAUUAAAUAAUAAAUGUAAAAACAAUUGUGCAGGCAUAAUAGCAAAUAAUAAACAGAUAAAAACUAAAGCAUGAAAAAAUAAUAGUAACGGACAUGUAAAUAAUUGAGCAAAGUUAACAACAUUAUAAAAAUAUAAAAGAUAUAUAUAUACAUAUAAAAUUAUGAAAAUAUGAAAAACAUAUGCAUGUAUACAUAUUUUAAAAUUAUUAUACAUGAAAAAUUAUGUAAAUAUGUAUGUGCAUACAUACAUACGUAUAUAACAAUUAUCAACUAUAAGAAAGUAUAUAUAUAUAUAGGUACGUACAUAUAUAUAAUAAAUAUAUAUAUACAUAUGGUUACAAAAAUAAGAAUAAGACAUGUAUAUAUAUACUCCAGGUUUAUAAAAUAUAAGAGUAUGUAAAUAUGUAUAUAUAUGCGUAUGAAAAUAAAGCUAACAGAACAGUAAUAGAAACUAGUUAAUGUAUUAAUAAAAUUGUAACGACUAAAUGAAAGGGAAAUAAAACUAAUAAAAAUUGAUGAUAAUAAUAAUAAUAAAUGAUAAUAACAUUAAAAUAAUGAACAAAAUAAUAAAAUUGCUACAAAAGGGACUAAAUUGAAAUGAAACAAAAAAACAGGGCGAAUUCGAAAUAAAAAGACUAAAAAGACUAAAUUGUGACACGCGCGGAAAGAGGGGGACCAAAAUGGUAAAUAAACCAAACCUCCAAAAAUGCGGCACUGCAGUGGACUAAAAUGAGACCAAAAUAAAACUUUGUGGCUAAAUUAAAAUAAAAAAAAUAAUGAAAAAGGGUCAAAUUGCAACGCGCUGCAAAGUUGGAAGGACUGCGCGCGGAAAUAUCCCAUUUGAAAAAAACGUGGAUCCUUGGCAGAGCGGGUCGGGUCUCGAGUCGGAUGGUACAAAACGAUGCCGUUUUGGCGUUUUAAAGGGCUGAGCAAAACGACGUCGUUUUGCUCCCCUAUUUAAACUAAUUUUUUUCAAAAAAAUUCAUUCUUCUCUCUUCUUGGCAAAAAAAAAAAAUCUCAAACACUCUCAACUCCCCUCCCCCUCUCCAGGCACCGGCCUCAGGUCCGGUGAAAGGAUCGUCGUCUGUCGCCGGCGAAGGGGCAAAAGAGUUUUUUUUUUAUUAAUGCAGGCGGUGUGAGCAAUGAAUGCCAUGUAACAUUGAUUUUAACAACUCAAUAACUUAAAUAAAAAUAUUCAAUAGUUUAGUGGUCAUUUUGUAAUUUUUUGAAGUUAAUUGACCAAAACGUAAACUUACUAGUAGUUCAGUGACCUUUGGAAUAGUUUACUCCAAUUAUUUAUUAUUUUCUGUGUUAUUUUUAUACAAUACCUGAAUUACCCAUAAAUAAACUUCACAAUUUUUAAAGUGGAAGAUAUUAGGCUAUUCUUUUUACUCAGCCAAUAUAAAAUUUUAUCAAGAAUGAAAGGACCACUUAGAAAAAUUUGAGAGAAAAUUGAUGAGUGAAAGAAAAUAAAACAAGCAGGGAUGUUUGAGUUUUAAUGGUGAUUUUCUUAAGAAGAGAAAUUUAUUUAUUUGAGGAGGAUAGAUACAUAAUUUACAUAAAAUAAGAUUCAAACUUAAACUUAAAAUUUCAAAAUUUAUAAAAUUAUUUUAAAAUUUACAUAAAAUAAGAUUCAAUUCAAUUCUUCCAAAUUAGUAUAAAAUUACAAAAUAUUUAAUCAUUCAAAGGCAAUUUUUAAAAUAAAAAAGCAAAAUUGCUUUAAAAAAAUGCUUUAGGUGGACACAAAAAGCAAUGGGUGUCAAAAUUCCAAAAGCGUCAACUGAUUUUCCACACAUUGGAAGUAAAAGUUGUUUGCAAUUUCAUUUCGUCCAAAUGACAACUACUUGAACACCCAGCAGUCGUUGCUCAUAAUUGAUAGGAUAAGACCAAAAGAAAAAAAAAUAAUUGUUUGGAUAAAUUAUACUCAAGUUCAUUAAACUAUUAAUAAAUUUAUAUUUUAAAUAUUUAAUUUAGAAAAAUUAUAGUUAUUAAACUAUUCAAUAGUUUUCUUUUAAGUCAUUAAACUAUUUAGAAGUUUUUGUUUAAGUCAUUGAACUAUUAAGUUCUUUUUUUUUAAAAAAAAGAGGCAGUUUGGCUAGCGAGGUUCAAGCGACAAUUUGAUGAACAGUACUAUGAAUCAAUACUCAUCAACGAAUAAAAGAACAUAUAUUAGAUCAUGUCAAUCUAAUGGUCGGUAUCCAAGAACAGAGGAGAGCUGUUUGGAUUUUAACACUGUUAUCUUAGUACAUAGAGUUUCCUGAAUUUACUACAUUUUGAUUUGUGUAACCUUAUUAAAACAAGUCUUCAAUAGAAAGUUGAGUCGCUACUUUGUUCUUAUUGUUUAUAGGAGGAAUAAAUUUCUUAAGCACACAAACUUUUGUGAAUUUAGAUUAAAAAGGGAGUUUAGUUCACAAAAUGUUUGAUUAACCCGACAAUUAGCGCAUUACUAGAUAUGUUACAGUACCGUGUUUGGUUCAAGAUAAAGUUGAAAUAAUUCUAGACUCAAAGAUAUUUAAUUAUUGGUUUGUUCUUAGUAAAUAGUAAAUGAGUAAAAAGUAUUUAAUACUUUAUGAUGAUUUUGACUAAAAAAACUUUAUGGAAUGAUUAAUAUCAUUGAUUAAACGGUUAAAAGUUUCAAAAUAAUUAAUGUCGACUCUUUUUAUAAAAUAUUCGGGUGGGAUGGGCGUCUUAUAGUUUGAACUUGUGUCAAAUGGGUACCUGAUAAAAAAUUUAAUCAUCACUCCAUAUAAGUCAAGAUUAAUAUAACUCUUUUUUAUAAAUUUUGUUACAAGAAAUCGUACAUAUUUUUGUCAUGUCAUAUAAAAGUAUACAUGUUAUAUGUUUUUGUAUCAUCUUACUUUUAAUUGAAAUAGUGAGUUGUAAAUUUAAAGGGGUUGUUUUACAAUUUAAAUAAUGAAUUUAACCAUUUAACAUCUAAUGAGUUAUUUAGAAUUUCUUUCUUUGAUUUAAAUUAGAUUAAUUUCAAUCAAAUAGAUGCAAAUGAAAAAACCAAUUAAUAAGAAGAUAAAUUUUUAGAAAAAUAAGCAAAUUGGGAGGCCAGAAGCGAGCAUUAGAUAUAUAACAAACAAUCACUUCAGUCAAAGCUCAUAGUAUAUAGCAAUCCAAUUCUUAUAAAAAAUACAUACACACACUUAAUGAAAUUAGAUAUCUCGGCAAAGUGCAUUCCAGUUGAUAAACUAUAAAAGUAACAUAUUUUAAUCCCAUUCUUAAUGUGUUGGAUGAUUUAUUAUUUAAUUUAGUGAAUUUGAUGCUCCUAAUCAUUUAAUUUCAUGUUUCUAUACUUAUGUGAGCAUAGGGGAACAAAAGGAGCGGAAAACGGGCCAAAAACGAACAAAACAGACCGAUUUAAGGAUCCACAUGGCUAAGACCAUUUCUGCACGGGCUGACCACACGCCCGUGUGUGCCACACGGGCUUGCCACACGCCCAUGUGCCAGCCCGUGUCGAAUUUGCUCCUUAUUUCCCAAACACGCAGAAAAUGCCAAUUUUUAGGGUUUCUAAGCAUUCUAAAGUCUAUAAAUACACACUAGAAGAGGACCUAAGGGGCACGCAAAGCUGAACGAAGAAAAGACUUGAAGAAUGCUAGUGGGUUCAACUCAGAAGUAGGAUCUCCUUCAAGACUGAAGAUCUCCAUUCAAUUUCUCUCGAAGUUUUUGGGUUUCUUUAUGUUUUCUUGUUUUCCUAAUUUUGAGAUGUUUUCCUCCCCAAGUAUGAACUAAAUUCCCUAGACAUCUAGGGAGGAUGAAACCUAAGGCUGAACUUAUUAUUUGAUUUUUCUGAAUUACAUGAUAAAUAUUUGUCCUUGAUCUCAAUUAUGUGUUCUUAUUUCAUGUUUUAAUGUUUUCAAGAUAUUAGUUCAUGAUUGGUGUGCUUAUUCAGUGGAGCAAAAGUCCCUAUUUAAGAGUAGAUCUAGCAUAAUUGAAUAGAGUUGCAUGCAAUCCUAGAAAUAGGACGACAUAAACCUAUCGAAUUAGAGUCAAAUCUAAUAGGAGAAUCCAUAGAUCGGAUUAGAGUCAAACCUAAUAGGAGAAUCCAUAGAUCGAGUUAAUACGAUAAUAGGGGUUUUAAUUAGAAAGAGAUUUCAAUUAAUCAACAUAGAGUUAGUUGUUUUUAUUCUCGAAACAGAUAUUAACAAAAGUUAGGGAUUUCUACAGAUCAAGACAAGUGAAUAAAUCGUUUAAUUCAGAUUUAGAAUAAUAAAAUAUUCGGGUGGGAUGGGCGUCUUAUAGUUUGAACUUGUGUCAAAUGAGUACCUGAUAAAAAAUUUAAUCAUCACUCCAUAUAAGUCAAUAUUAGUAUAACUCUGUUUUAUACAUUUUGUUACAAGAAAUCGUACAUAUUUUUGUCAUGUCAUAUAAAAGUAUACAUGUUAUAUGUCUUUUUAUAAAAUAUAUGGUAUUUAAUACUUUAUAAUGAUUUUGAUUAAAAAAACUUUAUGGAAUGAUUAAUAUCAUUGAUUAAACGGUUAAAAGUUUCAAAAUGAUUAAUGUUGACUCUUUUUAUAUAAUAUUCGGGUGGGGAUGGGAGUCAUAUAGUUUGAACUUGUGUUAAAUGGGUACUUGAUAAAAAAGUUUAAUCAUCAUUCCACAUAAGCCAAGAUUAGUAUAAAUCUGUUUUAUACAUUUUGUUAUAAGAAAUCGUACAUAUUUUUGUUAUGUCAUAUAAAAGUAUACAUGUUAUAUAUUUUGAUUGACAUUGAAUCAUCUAAUUUUUAAUAGAAAUAGUGAGUUGUAAAUUUAAAGGGGUUAUUUUACUACUUAAAUAAUGAAUUUAACCAUUUAACAUCUAAUGAGUUACUUAGAAUUUCUUUCUUUGUUUUAUAUUGAUUAAUUUCAAUCAAAUAGAUGUAAAUGACCAAUUAAUAAGAAGAUAAAUUUUUGAAAAAAUAAGCAAAUUGGGAGGCCGGAAGCCAGCAUUAGAUAUAUAGCAAACACACAAUGAAAUUAGAUGUCUCGGCAAAGUGCAUUCCAGCGCUGAUUAGGUAAACCUACAUCAAGAAAAAAAAUGGUAUGUAUAUAUCAUCAUCUCUCAUGUAUAAUAAUUAAAAAUAUGAAAUAAUAAAAUGAUAUUAAAAAUUUAGUUUUUCUAGAAAAAUAUUCAAAAUUCUUAUUUUUUUAUAUUUUAAUUAUAAUUUUUAUGGUAAUUGAAGAUAUAUUCUUCUAUUAUGUUAUUUUAUCAAUAUUAUAUCAAUCUCUAACUCUAUGGGUGAAAAAGAAAAGAAAAAAGAAUGUAAAAAUUAUUAUUUUAUAGAAAUAAAUACCUCACGUGAUGUUGGCCCUUGGGAUCGGAUUAAUAAUGUGGAUGGAGGGAAUGUGGCGCACUUUAUAGAAAUCCUCUCCUUCUUUUCCAUCUAUCACUUCAAUCCUUUCUUUCAAUGACGAAGAUAUUCCUAACAUUAAAUUCAAUUCUUGGAGAGUAGUAAUGUACCUCAAUCCUUCUGGAAGCAUUCUUAAACUCUUAACAUGGAUCAACUCCAAUUCUCGAAGGCAUGGCAUUGCACCUUCUUCUAUUUCCCACUCCUCCAGCUUUCUUAAAAUCAUUCCAAGAAAAUCAAGUUUAGGAAAUCCAUUUGCAGAGCACACCAUUUUACUCCCAAUAUAUGCUCCCUCCAAAUAGAGAAUCCUCAAAUGACAUAGCUUUUCUAAUACCGCCAUUGGAUCUUGUCUCAGCUCAUUAUCAAAGUUAAUUUGACAAUAUUUGAUGGAAGAAAUUUCAAAACAUGACCGUUCGGAUGUGUCUCAUCUUCUAUCCGACCCAGUAAUUUCAGUUUGGAGAGGUGAUAAUAUUGAGAAAGGAGUUCUAAGUCUAGGUGUGAGCCUGAGCCAUAAAAAAAACGUAAGGACACUGACCUAAGGCGUUGCAAUUUGGCUAGCAAGAUUAGGGUAGGCUUCACAUAUUUUGCUCUGGUAAAUGCUAUUCCUAAACUCUGAAUAUUAGUCCACCUAUGCACCGCAUUAUUUUCAACCGCCUUCUCAUCCACCACUAUGACCUUCAAAGUUUCAAUAUUUUUUGAAGUGAACCCUUGCCGCCAACGAAAUCCAUAGACAUACGAUUUUAUUACAAUAUGCCUUAAACGUUCUAACUUAAACACACCAUCUGGAAUUACAAUGUCAUCACAAAACUUGAUGUAUAAAGUGUAUAGAUUCUUCAACCUGCCAAAAGAUCGCGGCAAAAUCAUUUUGUUAUUGUAGUAUAACUUCAAGUAUCUCAAAUGUUGGAGAUUACCAAUUUCAGUCGACACAUUCAAUUCUUGGAGAGUAGUAAUGUACCUCAAUCCUUCUGGAAGCAUCCUUAAACUCUGUCCAUCGGCCAACUUCAAUUCUCGAAGGCAUGGCAUUGCACCUUCUUCUAUUUCCCACUCCUCCAACUCAAAUAACCAAGACAUUUGAAGAUAAUCAAGUUUAGGAAAUCCAUUUGCAGAGCACACCAUUUUACUCCCAAUAUAUGCUUGUUGCAAAUGGAGAAUCCUCAAAUGACAUAGCUUUUCUAAUACGACCAUUGGAUCUUGUCUCAGCCUACAGGUGCACAAAGUUAAAUUGACAAUAUUUGAUGGAAGAAAUUUCAAAACAUGACCGUUCGGAUGUGGCUCAUCUUCUAUCCGCCCCCAUAAUUUCAGUUUGGAGAGGUGAUAAUAUUGAGAAAGGGGUUCUAAGUCUAGGUGUGAGACAUCAAAAAAACUUAAGGACACUGACCUAAGGCGUUGCGAUUUGGCUAGCAAGAUUAGGGUAGGCUUCAUAUAUUGUGCUCUGGUAAAUGCCAUUCCUAAACUCUGAAUAUUAGUCCACCUAAGCACCGCAUUAUUUUCAGCCGCCUUCUCAUCCACCACCAUGUACUUCAAAGUUUCAAUAUUUUUUGAAGUGAACCCUUGCCGCAACCGAAAUCCAUAUAAGGGUAAUGUCCCAUUCAAUUUUAUUACAAUAUGCCUUAAACGUUCUAACUUAAACACACCAUCUGGAAUUACAAUGUCAUAACAAUACUUGAUGUAUAAAGUGUACAGAUUCUUCAACCUGCCAAUAGAUCGCGGCAAAAUCAUUUUGUUAUUGUAGUAUAACUUCAAGUAUCUCAAAUGUUGGAGAUUACCAAUUUCAGCUGACACAUGCCACUCUUCAUAACUGCAUUUUCCUUUUUGAAGAGUCAACACCCUUAAAAAUUCGAAGCUUUUGUAUUUUGAAAUGUGGAAUUCAACCGGUUCCACAUUUUGAGGAAACAACAAAGAACGUAAUUUUGGAUGUUCUCCCUUCAAAUAAACAAAAUUCCGUUCACUAGGAUGAAUAGAAAUUCUUCGUAGCAUAGAUUUUGCCAAUGUCACAUCAUAUUCAUGCAGUGGUUGUUGAAUAAUUUCCAAGAACUUCUCCUCUCUUGCUUUCUUCGUGCAUAAGUCUCUCAAGAGAUCAUGCAUUCGACAUGUCUCGACAUUUGUUCCUGUAUAGUCUCGCCUGCUAACUUGAACUAAGCUCCUAUCUAUAAGCUCUUCUAGGAAAUUUUCACCUAAAUCCUCCAUCAAGAAUUCUUCGGUUUUCGGAAUGAAACCUUCAGCGAUCCAUAAUCGAAUGAGUUCUUUUUUAGGUAUCUCCCAAUCUUCUGGAUAAUGACUAAGAUACAAAAAGCAUGGUUUUAAAGGAUAAGGCAAGUCAUUGUAGCUUAAAACCAAAAUUCUGUUCACUGCACCAUAUUGACGAUCUUGGUGUGGGAGCUCAUUUAAGUGUCCAUGGAUGUUUUUAUGAACCAUCUCCCAUUGAGCCACGGACUGUUUUGUUGCCAGCAAGCAACCCAACACAACAAUUGCUAAAGGCAAGCCUCCACAUUUUUUCACCAUCUCUUUUCCAAGCUUCACAAAUUCUUCUGAGCAGCAUUGAGAACCCAUUUUGCUCCGUGGGAAUGCUUUCUUACACAAAAGAUUCCAACUUUCAUCAUCCGUAAGAAAUGAGAGCUCGAUGGGAGUGUUGCAAGAAUCGGCUCGUGAAGCCACAUUCCUGUUGCGUGUUGUGAACAAUAUUUUGCUUCCCUUUCUUCCUCGUGGAAAAGCAGGUUUAAGAAUAUCCCAAUCCUCGCUUCUCCAAAUAUCAUCGAGGACCACCAAAUACCGCUUUUCUUUCAAAGCAUCAAAAAGCGUUCUCGUCAGCUCAAUCUCGUCCAUUUUCUCAAUUUUCUCCCUAUCAUUGUUAGAAGGAGAGAGAACUUUCUUCAAGACACUAAGCAAAACCUCUCUCGGCUUACAUUGUUGAGAGAUAGAAAACCAAGCCAAGAAAUCAAAAUGGCGUCUCACAUCAACAUGAUUAUAUACUUUUCUGGCAAGAGUAGUCUUACCGAGGCCCCCCAUGCCGACUAUGGAAACUACGGCGUGGGGUCUAUCUUCUUCAGUCAUCAAUUUGGUCAUGAUAUCCUUGGUGCUAACCUCCAAGCUAACAACGUCCUCUUCCUCGACAUGUGAGUAUGUCCUUCUAAACUGUUGCUGCACCUUGAAAAUUGAGCUAGAGCCUUCUCCAUCAUCGGGUAUUUCAAAAGCUGGAAGAUUCUCGGAAAUGUUUUGGAGCUUGGUCAUGAUUGCUUUGAGCUGCAACCCGAUUUUGUGCAGAUGAUAAGGUUUGGUGAAAAUGGAGGUGAAUCUCUUGACAAUCCCAUGAAAACCUCGUUGAUAUGCUGCUUUAAGAAUAAAAGAGUCGAUGACAUCUUCAGCAUCAUAAGCAAGAUUUCUGAUUUCCGACACCCGAUUCUGGAAACGCGCAUCUUGUUCAAGAUUGCGAUCCGCGUCCUUCAAGAAACACUGCAUUCGCUUCAGUUCAGCCCUUAGGCUCUCAACUUGAUCUUUCACAUCUUUGAGGAAAACAGCUUCAUGGAUGAGUAAAUCUGAAAUUCUUUCAACAGCUAAGGACACAAUAGCCUGUUCCAUUUCUCCUGCUGGUCCAGAACAGAUUCCACAAACUGAUCUGCAAGUAUUAGUAGAAUAUUUUAUGUAUUUGUGGAUAAGUAUCUCUCUUUAUCAGAAGUUUUGAAGAGCUGUUUUUGGGUGUGAGGUUGGUAAUUACUGUUCUUUGGACAGCAAAUAGCUGAACUUAUUAUUAUUAUUAUUAUUAUUAUGGAACGUAACUUUUUUUUAAAGAAAAUAACAUAUAUUCAAACUUAACAUGUGGAUAACCCUUGUCCUAAAUUAGUUGUAGCCCUUCUCGAUCUUGCUUCAAUUUUAUACACUUCAUAUUUCCUUAUAAUGUCAUCGACUAACCACAUAACUAAUUACUAUUAACAUAUUUAAUGACUCCUUUAAUUGUAAUUGAGUGAGAGCUAGACGAAAUUACACCAUUUGUAUUAAGCUUAACAUAACCACUUUCUGGAGCUAACUAUUUUGAAUCAAAAGCCAUAAAAUUCGAAUGGUACAUAGCCAUUGAGGGUGGCGAAUAACUUCUCGUCCAACUGAUACCAUCUACCACAUCCUAAACAGAGCUAUAACUAUGGAAAAGCACAAACAUAUUCCUGUUUUUAUUGAUUAAUAGUAAUGUUUAUAGAAAAAUAUAGAGUAAAUCAAAUUUAUUUUGAUAUCAAUAGAUGUUGAUUUAAUAAUGAAAAAUUCAUAACAGUUAUAAAAUAAUUUCUUCCAAUUAAAAAGCAAUUUUUUUUCUUUUUUUCUUUUUAAGAAAGAAAAGACUAGUGGACAUAAAAUUCCAAAAGCGCAAGAGAUUUUCCACAAUGAAAACAAAAGCUGUUUUCAAUUUCCACGUUGGAUUCCACACAAAAUCGAUAAAGUCAAAUGGCAUGUGAAGAAAAAUGGGCAGAGGAUUGGAACAAUUCCGGUUGAUGGGACUGAUAGUGGAGAUAACAUUGAGGUAAUCCUUCUCUAGACUUAGUUAACUGUUGAAUAUUGUUGAAAUACUUUAGUUUUAUUGUUUUGAAUCGAAGCCAAAAUUUUUUUGGAGUGGGAUAUAAUGUUCAUUUCCAGGUAGAUUAUGCAUGUUAAAUUCCGAAAUUGUUAUACUUUAUGUUUCUAACCAUAUUGUCACGCAUAAGGUUUUUAGUUGUGAAUGCAUACAUCACGAAAUAGAAGUUACCAAUAGGAUGUGUGUUGUGGAUUGGCAGCUGACUUAAAAGAUAUUUUGAAUAAAACUCAUUGUAGAUUAUUAAAUCACGUAGUAAAUUGAGUUACUUAUGAACAAAAGAGAGAAGUUUCAUGCUUUCUGAACUUUCUUCUUUAUUAAUGUGGACGAGUUGUGCUAUGCAUUAUUGUCUGUAGUGUAGGACUAUAAUGUGCAAAAUAUCAUCGUGACUAGAAAUUUCUGUCUAUACAAUUACCAUAUGUUUCUAGCUGACAUUAGUGGAGGUACUUAGCAAGAGAGGAGGAUGCGCUUAAGUAGCAUGGACAGAUAAGCUUGCUUCAAACAUUUAGCACUUUGCAUUGCAUUUGAAUGAUGUCCUUUUCCUCAAAUUUGAUGUCACAAUGCUUUAGGAAAAAAAAAAGGGAAAAAAGAAAACGAGUUUGUGGCCUCAUUUGCGUAACUAAAAUCCUCAAGUUUUUGACUCGACACCCAAAAUUGAUUAUUCGUUGAUGACACCUGAAAUUGCUUAUUCAUUAAUGUCAGGCUUUGAUUAGUUUAAAUGGUUACUGAAGUUAUAUAUAAUUAUUUCCAUGGCAUUCUUUGUCAAAUUUAACAAGCAGAAUAUCCCUUUUAUUUACAGGAGUCCAUUUUAGCUAUUAGCUUUAGCAACAAGGGAUCCAGAUACAUAUGUUCAGGAGGAAGUGGUCAAGUUGUAAGAAUAUGGGAUUUGCAGCGGAAGCGUUGCAUCAAAUGGUUAAGAGGUCAUACCAGCUCAAUAACAGGUGUUAUGUAUAACUGCAAAGAUGAGCACUUGGCCUCCAUCAGCCUAAGUGGGGAUCUGAUACUUCACAACCUUGCUUCUGGGGCAAAGGCUGCUGAAUUAAAAGAUCCCGAUGCACAGGUUGUUGAGUUUGUUGCAUUUGGGUGCUUAUGUUAAGUUCUUAGUCAUGUUUGCAAGCUAAUUUUCCUCUGAUGGAUUUAAGACCAGGAACUAAAGGUACUUGAUUAUUCGCGGAUUAGUCGACACAUUUUGGUGACUGCAGGUGAUGAUGGAUCUGUCCAUUUAUGGGAUACCACUGGUCGUAGCCCAAAGGUUCUCUUCUCUCUGUCUGUCUUAAUAUUCUUGAUGUUCUAAGCAUAUAUGUAAUCCACUGGCUUUUACAGGUCUCUUGGUUGAAACAGCACUCUGCUCCGACAGCUGGCAUUAGUUUCUCACCCUCCAAUGAUAAGGUCUCAUUGUUUCUUCUUUUCCUUAUUAAGGCUUAAUUAAAGGAAUAGGCUGACUUUUUCUGGAAGGUUGAGAUGAAGGAAUUUUUUUUUUAAUGGUUAAGAUAUCUUUCAAAAAUUGUUAAAUAUUCUGACAUUUCAUUAUUCUUUUUCCUUUUCAACAGAUUAUUGCUAGUGUUGGGUUGGAUAAGUAGCUAUACACUUAGGACUCAGGGUCUAGAAGACCCUCAGCUUUCAUUUCAUAUGAGGCACCUUUUUCUUCAUUGGCAUUUAAAGAUGAUGGUUGGACACUGUCAGCUGGUACUGGUAAUGGUAGAGUGGUGUUCUAUGAUAUUCGGGGAAAACUACAGCCUUUUACUGUUCUUCGUGCUUAUAGUAGUUCGGAGGUUGGUUAUCUUUUGCUCUAUUAUCACUUUUUAAUAUAAAAAGAGACCCAGGCCCUGAUAAGUUCUUUUAGUUUGCACUUGCUUUCUAUUUUCCUUCAAGAACUCUAACUUGAUAUGGAAUUUUGAAUGGUAUUUGUAUAAAAGAUCAUGUUCUAUAAUGGAACUAAUGAUAUUAAUUGGAUGUCACUGCUUGCUUGUUUGUGCUCCAACUUCAACGUGUUUUGUGUAAAUAGAAAGUAAUAAACCUUAUUCCUUUAACAUUUUAAAUCCUAAGUGUUUAUAGCAUCUAUUAGGCUGUUUCAAGUUUAUGUUGGCAAAGAUCAAAACCUGCCAUUGUUAAUGAGAGUACUUGCACUGCUGAGACUGCUCUUUUGGGAGGUGCAAUGGAGGAUUCUGUUCUUAUGCCAGACCCACUUCCAUCUGCGACAUCAACAAGCCUUUCGUCAUCCACAGCAGUUUCUAGUUCUCGUAUCACUGGCCGUUCAGGUCCUGCAGAAGUAUCUUCUCUUACUAGUAGUAGUGGAUUGUUAAAGAUAAUAAAACGGUUAGAGAGGUAGUUAGUGAGGGCUGGUAAGUUAGCUAGUUUGUUAGAGAUAGCAAGUUAUAAAUACUAUCGUCUGGCUUUGUAUUGAGCCAAGUAACAGUCUAAGUUCAUUUUAUAAACAGUUUGUUUAGUAAAUUUCUGAAGGUUACCUAGUUUUCUUCAUGGUAUCAGUCGCUAGGGGUUCUUGAUCAUGGCAACUACAAACUCUGUUGCGUCGGAUUCUGCUGAAGUGCAUGGCUCAGUGUUUGCUGCUGAGUGUGUGGUGAAUUCGCUUCCUAGACAUGACGUUGUGAAACUUGAUGAAGGAAUGUUUCUUCAAUGGAAGCAACAGGUAAGAUUCAUUGUUAAUGGCUAUGAUCUCUUCGGUUUUCUUGAUGGAUCUAUUGCAGUGCCGUCGAGGUUUGUACAAGCACCGGAUGGUGCGCUUGUGGUCAAUCCAGUGGCAUCAGUGUAUCACCAACAGGAUAAUCUACUCACGUCUUGGCUUCUCUCCACCAUAAGUUCAUCAAUUUUUUCAUCCUUUAUGGAUGUCCAAUCGGCGAACGACGUAUGGACCAUGGCGUUGGAGAUGUUUGCGGCCGAUUCCGAUCAAAGGCAGUCACGAUUGCGUCAUGAGCUUCACUCUCUCAAGAAAGGAAGCAUGUCGUUCCGUGAUUAUGUUGCGAAGUUAAAACGUGUGUGUGCUCUGUUGGAAUCCUCUGGAUCUUCCAUUUCAAUGGCAGAAAGGACGGCGGUGCUUCUUGUGGGGCUUCCGUUUGAGUUUGAAGGCAUCGUCUUGUCGACUUCGUUGUCUCCGACUCCGUUGCCGUUUCUACGACUGGUUAAGGCGUUACUAGAGUGUGAAACUCGGCAUGCUCAGACCAGUCAAGAGGUGGUGUAUGCUGCAAAUCUGGUGGAGGAUGUGUCUACAGAUAGUGCUUCGCGAGGAGGGCGAUCGGGGGUGCGUGGUCAUGGAAGGACGUUUCGGCCGCGACUUCAAUGCCAGAUCUACUCUCGGUUUGGACACGUGGCUCAAAAAUUCUAUUAUAGGUACCAUCGUGAUGAGUCGUCUCCGGUGCCACCUCCACAGCAAAACCAGAUGCUGAAUCUUUACUCCGGUGAUGGUGGCUGGCCGUCUUAUCCAAACACUAGACCUAAGGUUUCUAAUUUUGGUCAACAGCAUUAUGGGACUAAUCAAGUUAAUUGUGCUAUAGGUCAACAUUAUUUUGGGCCUGGUCAAAAUUCAUAUGAUUUUGGUCAAAAUUGGUGUGCUGAAGGGGGCUUCAAUGCGCAGCGUGGAGGCUAGCAGGUUGGGCCAAAUGGGUGGCCUAAGCCGAGUGAUGAACGGCGAGAUUUUAGGCCUCCAACUCCUGGGUCGCAAGCUGGUGGGCCAAAUGAUGGUGUACAUGGAGGGUUUGGCAUGUCGUCUUAUGUUGGGCCAAAUAUUGGGCAGAAUGUUGGGCCAAAUGUUCCUCCUUCGAUGCCUACAAAUCCGUUUGUGAAUAAUGUUCAGCUCAAUCCAGCUAAUCCGAUCGGUACCACGACAGUUCCAUGGCGAACCAAGCUGCGUGCGCGAGUAUUUUCCGCCUCAAACCCUUGUUUUGGACUUCCUAGGUUGGGAGAUAAACAUGCGUCGGACUAUUCUGAUCUGUCGAUCUCUAGUUCUCAUGCUAACUCCGAUCGACAUAGAGUGAGUGGGGAUGCGUCUGACUCGCCGAUUCCUGGACCAGUUGGGACGUCGUCUUGGUAUCCUGAUUCAGGAGCCAGCAAUCAUGUUUGUCAGGAUACGUCAGAUAUGCAUAAUGCUACUCCUUAUUCAGGUACGUCUUCUAUUUUAAUGGGUAAUGGUACGCCCGCAUUAAUAUCGUCUGUUGGUCAAAGUGUUCUGCCGACAUGGUCUAUGUUGCUUCGGUUGUCUAAUGUGUUAUGUGUCCCAACUAUUCGAAAAAAUUUGUUGUCAGUAUCACAAUUUGCUACUGAUAAUGGGGUAUUUUUUGAGUUUCACUCUACUUAUUGUGUGAUAAAGGACAGCGUGACACAUGAGGUUUUACUGACGGGGCAUAUUCAUAAUGGGCUAUACCGGUUUACUAUGCCGGAUGGUGGUUCUUAUCUGUCUGCUACUCAGGUAGAAUGUUUGACCUCGACUGCUGACAGUGAGUUGUUUUCGUUAUGGCACAAGCGACUUAGACAUCCGUCGUCAACUGUUGUUAAAAAUGUUUUACAUAAAUGUGAUGUUCCUUUGAAUAAAAUUGUUUUUAGUGAUGUUUGUACUGCUUGUAAAAAGGGUAAGUUUCAUAAGUUGCCAGUUAUGGCUUCCAAGACUGAAUAUACUGAUCCCUUUACGUUGGUUGUAUCUGAUGUAUGGGGACCUGCCUCGGUUGCUUCUAGUAACAAUUGGUAUUAUGUAUCGUUCAUUGACAUGAGUUCUCGGUUUACUUGGGUAUGUCUAAUUCGACAGAAGUCUCAGGUUAUGAAUUGCUUCAUUCAGUUUCAGAAACUUGUUCACACUCAGUUUGGUAAGACCAUCAAGCAAUUCCAGAGCGACUGGGGUGGUGAGUAUCGAGCGUUGGCUUCGAUUUUGGCGUCUCAAGGCAUCGUUCAUCGUGUUUCGUGUCCGCAUACUUCUGAGCAAAAUAGUGUCGCCGAGCGUAAACAUAGACACAUUGUCGAAAUGGGGCUUACUCUUUUAGCUCAAGCGGGUCUUUCGAUGGAGUUCUGGGCAUAUGCGAUUACAUGUGCAGUUCAUUUAAUAAAUCGUCUUCCCACACCAGUGUUGGAUGGUAAGACUCCAUAUGGUGUGCUUUAUGGACGAGACCCUACUUAUGAUCACCUGCGUAUCUUUGGAUGUUGUUGCUAUCCGUUUUUACGCCCGUUUCAGCGUCACAAAUUAGAAUUUUGGUCUCAACCAUGUACAUUCUUGGGCUACAGCCCUUGUCACAAAGGGUACCAAUGUCUGUUGCCGGAUGGUCGCGUUAUUGUUUCUCGACAUGUGGAGUUUGAUGAAUCUAGGUUCCUCUCUCCGCCAAAUAUAUCUCGGUCACGCGAGGUGAGUACUAUACCUACUUAUUUUCCUGUUCUUGAGACUAAUCCGUUGUUACAACGGAACUCUGUUAUUGGUCCUGUUUGUCCGCCUAGUGUACCUGGGGCUCGGAGUCCUCAGAGUAGAGUGGAUGUUAGUCCAACAAAUACUAACUAUCGUAAUACUCCCUUAUUGAAUGAGUUUUUGACUGAAGAAGAUAUUUCUCAUCAUGGUGUCUUGCAUUCUGAAAAUCAAUCUCCCACGCCCACUGUUCCAAUUCCGUCUGACCCUACAGGACCAGAGGUGUCUGUGCCUAAUGUGAAUAUUCAUCCUAUGACUACUCAUUCAAAAGCUGGCAUUUUUAAACCCAAGGUUCUUGCUGUUGAGGUUGUAGAACCGUCAACGAUUGAAGAAGCUGUCGCUAGCCCUGAGUGGCAAAUCGCUGCUCAAACGGAAUAUGAUGCCUUAAUUCGUAAUGGUACCUGGGAACUGGUUCCUAUGCCAUUAGGUUACAAAGUUAUAGGUUGCAAAUGGUUGUUUAAAGUAAAGAAAAACCUAGAUGGAUCGGUUGAACGGUACAAGGCCCGUCUGGUUGCAAAAGGCUGUUCUCAAGUUUCGGGGUGCGACUUUCAAGAAACAUUUAGUCCAGUUGUCAAACCUGCCACUAUAAGGGUAUUCUUGUCGAUCGCGGUUACUAAAGGGUGGUCACUUAGACAAGUUGAUGUUAACAAUACCUUCUUAAAUGGUGAUGUUGAUAAUGAAGUGUUUAUGCAGCAACCUCCGGGAUAUGUUAAGCUUGGUUCUGACGGGAGACCUUUGGUUUGUCGAUUAAAGAAGGCGUUAUAUGGUUUGUGACAGGCUCCACGAGCUUGGUUUGAGAAGUUGAGGACAUUUCUUUUGCAAGUUGGGUUUGUUGGCUCUAAGUCGGAUGCUUCUCUUUUUGUUCGAGUUCGCUCAGACUCCACUCUCUAUGUUCUUGUUUAUGUUGAUGACAUUAUCAUUACUGGUAAUUUGGCGUUGGCUAUUGACUGGUUUGUACAGAUGUUGAAUGAUGAAUUUUUGUUAAAAGACAUGGGUGAUUUACAUUACUUUUUUGGGAGUUGAGGUUACCAGGUCGCCUUGUGGGAGCCUUCAUCUGUGUCAAAAGAAGUACAUCCGGGAUAUGUUGAAGCGUAGUGGUUUGACGAAUGCUAAAGGCGUACAUACGCCCAUGAUUAGCUCGUUGCAUAUUUCUAAAAAUGAUGGUGAGUUGUUAUCUGAUCCGACUGAGUACAGGAGUCUGGCAGGUACGUUACAGUAUGUGGUCAUUACUAGGCCUGAUAUUGCUUAUGCGGUUAAUAAGGUAUGUCAGUUUAUGCAUAGUCCAACCACAGUUCAUAUGACUGCUCUUAAAAGGAUAUUACGAUAUUUAUCUGCUACACUUGAUUUUGGAAUUAUUUUUCGACGGUCUGAUUCUCUGUCUUUAGUUGGGUUUUCUGGUGCAAACUGGGGAUUAGAUUUUGAUGAUCGGAGGUCUACUUCGGGGUCUAAGUUCAUUUUAUAAACAGAUUGUUUAGUAAAUUUCUGAAGGUUACCUAGUUUUCUUCAUGGAUCAACAUCAAGCACACUCAAUCUCUCUUCUUCUCUCGAAACACCAAUUAGAAGCCAUCUAUGGCCAGGUGGAACACUAAUGAGAUUACACGCUCCUCGUUCUACAUUCAAUUUCAAGGAUGAUAUGGAGGUAUUUUCCCCUCUUGUGGAUGUUCAUCCUAUUACACCCUCGCUGGAUAAGCUGUGGGAUGGUCAUGAUGGUGCAAAGAAAGAGCACCUACCCAGUGAUAAGAAGCCAUCCUCCCUGUUGUUUCCUUCUAGUGUCACGGGCCGCAGUUCAAAGCCCGUGACCAUCGCACCAAAUACAUCCAAUGGAGGUCUAUUGCUCAGAUGGGGAUCAUUUGGCUCACGAGAACUGGCCCGAUUCAAUGAGAUACUAAAGAAGCCUGUCAGAUUGAAGCCUGGUUGGCCCGAUAGCGAAGAGAUGGCAACUUAGGCUAAUAUGGUAACUAAUCUUAGAAGAUAUGAUAUUAUAAUCUUAGAGAUCUUAGAUAUGAUAUGGAAUCUUAUAAGAUAUUAUUUUAUAAGAUUACAUAUCUUAUCUAAGAUAUGGAAUCUUAGAAGAUAUGAUAUUAUAUUCUUAGAGAUUUGAUGGUAGGUAAACUUUAAUCUCGUCCGUCGAUGUAAUUGUAUCUUGACCGUCGGUUUUGGGGGAGCUCAAGUAUAAAUAGAGAGCCUCCCCCUCAUUUGUACUCACUCCAUUCAUUGUUUCAUUAUUCUUUGUGAAUAAGAGAAUAGAGAGCAUUUACUCAAACACUUUGUGUGCGUCCCUUUCUUUUGUUCUUUCUAAGCUUCUUUUGGCAUAAGUUUGCUUCCGCUGUACGAGUUGGUGCCUUGGAGGAGUUUUUAAGGAAUCCUCAUUCGAGCAAAGGCUGACUUGGGCGAGUUUGGACGAGCGAAUCGCCUAAGGCUGCACGGAUCCCGAGACGAAAGGUCUAGCCCCGUGACAAGUGGUAUCAGAGCUAGAGUUCGAACCAAGAAGUAUCCGAGCUGUUGGUUCGAAGGCACCGUUGGGAUGUCAAGAGAAGAGUCUGAACAAAGGUGGGCGAGGAAGUCUUUGAGGGAGAUGUUUUCGGCUGUUGAGGAACGCGUGGGGAAACUUGAAGAGUCCAUGGAGGACGUCAAAGAGUCGAGCAAUGCGCUUGGGGAAAGCAUUGAUGACUUGAGGGAGCAGUCAAGGGACUUUGUUACCGAGUGUCUCACUUUCCACAGGGAUAGUGUGCAAGAGUUGCUAGAUUCCCAAAGGAAGAAGCUGACGGAGAGGAACAAUGCUCUCGAAGCCAUGAUGAUGGCUUUAAAGGAGGAAACAAUAGCCACGACGAGGGCUUUGAGCACAAGGAUAGAGGAGCUCGAGGGAGAGUUAGCCUUGUGUCAAGCAGCCGUGGGGAAAGGAGUGUCAAGUGCAGCACUCAAUAACGAGGAUGUCCCGAAACCGAGAGAGUUCGCUGGGAUAAGGUCUGCAUGCGAUGUGGACAAUUUCUUGUGGAGGAUGGAACACUACUUCCGUGCCAAAGGAAUCGUGGAUGAUGCGGUUAAAGUAAAUACUGCUUCAAUGUUUCUUACUAACAUUGCGCUUUUAUGGUGGCGACGUAGGACCACAGAUAAAAGGCAAGGUGAGAUUGGGACGUGGCAGGAGUUCCAAUGCGAAUUGAAGGGACAGUUUUACCCAGAGUUUGCCGAGGAAGAAGCUCGGGCAAAGUUGCACGGAAUAACGCAACGGGGCACAGUGGGGGAGUAUGUUCGUGAGUUCAAGGAACUCAUGCUCCAAGUUGCAAAUGUGACCGAUGAAGAAGCAUUGCUUGCUUUUCAAAAGGGAUUGAAGCCGUGGGUCAGACAGGAGGUGGAACAAAGAGGUGUCCAAAACUUGUCGGAAGCCAUGACGGUAGUUGAAUCUAUAGUGAAGCUUGGUCAAGGGAACGACAAGCUUGGGUCUUCCAAGUCCGAUGGAAGGGGCGUAUGUGAAAUGAAUCACAAGGAAGAUAGUGUGGAUGGCAAUGGCAACGGCGACAAUGGUGGUAAUGGGAAACCACGAGUUGCGAAGAAGAAACCCAAGAGGAAAAGAGACAAGCUGAAAUGCUUUCUGUGCGACGGUCCACAUAUGUUGAAGAAAUUUCCAAGGAAAUCCGCGCUUAAGAAGAAGCCAGUAGAGUACUUCUUGUGUCAGGGUCCGCAUAGGUUGCGGAAGUGUCCGAAGAAGUCUAUCAUCGAGGGGAACGAUAGAGCGACAAGGAGCCCAAGAAGCUUGGUUCAAGCAAGGGAAAAGCCGAAGCCAAGAGGGCAAAGAGGAGCAAAAAGAAGCAAGUAAAGUGCUUCUUAUGCCGUGGUCCGCAUGAGUUGCGGAACUGUCCAAAGCAAGCCGUAGUCAAAGGAAAGGCAACGUCCGAGCAUAGAGAGUCAUCGGAGGGGCUUCCACCCAAGGGAGAGGUGAGUUUGUCAUCGAACUUAGAGGAAGAAGUUGCGAUGAAAACAGUGAAGCUAGGAACAAUGAGGCUCGAAUCGAGUGAAGCGUCGGAGUUGGCCGAGUCAUCGACAAGGCUUCCACCUAUGGGAGAGGUGGGUGGUGCAUCGGACUUCAAGGAAAAAGAAGUGAUGCAUGUGGGACAGUUGACCCGAGUAAAUGCAAAGGUACAUUCGAAACACUCUAAUAGUGUUUUGCAUUCUAACUUGUGUACUUGGCGAGAACGUAGGGGCCCUUUCGAAGUUCUUGAGCAAGGAGGCCGAGAGACUGUGGGCAAAGCGAAGCCAAGUGUCGCGAAUCAUGAGGAUUCUGUUCGAGGGAAGUUAGAAUGUGGGCAAGGGAGUGACAUAACUCCUUGUCGUCGAGAUGUACAAACGAGUAAGACGGCUAGAGUUAAGAAGCGACGAAAGCCGAGGCAAAAGUCCCAAAUAAAGGGAAAGGCUAAGGCGUCGAGACAAGAUCGAGACGAAUCAAGCCAGUGCCAUCCAGAAGUCGCAACGAGGGCGUUGCGAGAAUGGGUGGGGGAGAAUGUCACGGGCCGCAGUUCAAAGCCCGUGACUAUCGCACCAAAUGCAUCCAAUGGAGGUCUAUUGCUCAGAUGGGGAUCAUUUGGCUCACGAGAACUGGCCCGAUUCAAUGAGAUACUAAAGAAGCCUGUCAGAUUGAAGCCUGGUUGGCCCGAUAGCGAAGAGAUGGCAACUUAGGCUAAUAUGGUAACUAAUCUUAGAAGAUAUGAUAUUAUAAUCUUAGAGAUCUUAGAUAUGAUAUGGAAUCUUAUAAGAUAUUAUUUUAUAAGAUUACAUAUCUUAUCUAAGAUAUGGAAUCUUAGAAGAUAUGAUAUUAUAUUCUUAGAGAUUUGAUGGUAGGUAAACUUUAAUCUCGUCCGUCGAUGUAAUUGUAUCUUGACCGUCGGUUUUGGGGGAGCUCAAGUAUAAAUAGAGAGCCUCCCCCUCAUUUGUACUCACUCCAUUUAUUGUUUCAUUAUUCUUUGUGAAUAAGAGAAUAGAGAGCAUUUACUCAAACACUUUGUGUGCGUCCCUUUCUUUUGUUCUUUAUAAGCUUCUUUUGGCAUAAGUUUGCUUCCGCUGUACGAGUUGGUGCCUUGGAGGAGUUCUUAAGGAAUCCUCAUUCAAGUAAAGGCUGACUUGGGCGAGUUUGGACGAGCGAAUCGCCUAAGGCCGUACGGAUCGCGAGACGAAAGGUCUAGCCCCGUGACACUAGCAGGAGGUUUGCUUUUGCUGAUGAUGGAGCCAGUGAUCACCCAAUACUUGAUUGGAAGUCCAGUUCAAUGUCUCAACAGGUUUUUUGCUUUUUGCUUUUUUGUUAUUGAUAACAGUAAUGCAUAACAUAUUUAUUUUGAUUUUUUUUGUACAAGAUAUUACUUUAAAUCUUCAUGGUAAUGUUCUGCUAGUUUCAUGCAAGUAUAUGAGUUGAUCCUAAGUUGUCAUUUUUGCAUAGAAUGGGACUGUGGUCUUUUUGUGCAUUAUGUUGUAUGUUUGGAGCAUUAUAAGUGUUUGUAUUAAAAAGUCCAAUAGAUCAACUGUGUUUUAGUAUGGCUUUGCAUGUUUUGAGGAUUUCUCUGAUUUACAAUUGCAGACAACUUACUAUCAUCUGCAGUGGGAUAUCAUUUCCAACAACUUUCAUUUCUCUUAAUAAAUGAAUUGGCUGAGCUUGAUUCACAGGCUAUUAUAUCCUAUGUUCUUUAGUUAUCGAACUGUUUCUGAUACUUAAUUUGGUUUUUUGAGAGCAAUCGAUAUGGCUUUUCAGUAUUUUUCCCCAUAAUGAUGUUUGUACACCACUUAUCUUUUCAGGAUGUGACGAAGUCUUUUACAGCUUUGGAAUCUACCCCUACACCAUCUUCCAAGAGUGAAGAGACCUCCAUCACUCCUCCAGAAGCUUGGGGUGAUGAGAAGAUAUCUGACAAAUUUGCUCACCUUCGCCAGCUGCCAUCUCGUUUUGGGAUGCCAGCUUCCGGUGGUCUGACAACGAGCUCUAUUUAUGCUGGACAAGAUCAGUCUUCAAUGCUCAGUCAGCCCAGUUCUAACCUAAGCUAUGAAAAUUUGCACACGAAAGAUGUCUCUUCAAAUCAGGAGGCUUCUUCACUAGGAUUUCCUGGACAUUUCUCCUUGAGCUCCAUGUCUGCUUUAUCUUUUGGUUCAAAAGGCAUCACUAGAGCUGCCAGCCUUGACUCACCAAAACUAGCAUCUUUAGCACCGCCUCGAAGGUUUUCAACAUAUGCCGAGAGAAUUAGUACUACAUCUGCUUUUAGUGAUGGAACAUCCCAUUUGGUGGCUUCUCCAAAAACAAAAAAAACGGGAGCUGAAACCAGAGAAGAGCUGUUUAAUAGCCUUUUAUCGAGGUCAGAUUCAUUGACUGCAGCGACAUCAGGAGUUCUUCCAGCAAUGAAUGUAUGAUAUCUGGUUUGGUUAAAUAACUAUUCACUACAUUAAUUUCUCUAAUCACUUUGGUCUUUUUAUGCAUUUGAGUAGUGAAGUCAUCCUGGAUGAAGGAUUUUUACGAAUUUCUAUAUAUUUCAUUGUUUUUUUUCCGGGCAUGACACUGCAUUGAUUGUGACCAUAAUAGGGAGGAACAUUACUACCCCCCAAGGCAUCUCAACAAGAUCCCCAACAAGGAAGCAACUUUACUCUUCAGCUAUUUCAACAAACUCUAGAAGAAACCCUCGAUUCAUUUCAGAAAUUCAUUCAUGGAGAUAUGAGGAACUUGCAUAUUGAAAUUUUAAGACAAUUCCACAUGCAGGAGGUAUUUUCCUAUCGUCCUUUCCUUUAUGUUGCUUUGGCUUUCAUGUACAUAUUCUCAGCUCUAAUUUGUGGAAAUUAUUGGAACAGAUGGAGAUGUCUCGUGUGAUGAGCUCCAUAUUACAGAACCAAGCUGAACUGAUGGAAGAGGUUAAGUCUCUCCGGAAAGAAAAUCAGCAGCUUCGUCAAUUGCUUUGAGCGCUGAUUAAACAACAUUAUCGUGUGAGGUUAGUGAAUGCCUCUUCUGAUCACCUUGCCGUAACUUAUGUUUCAUCAGUAGGCUUGUCUCAUAUCAGAGUAAAACUGCUUACAAAUGUGAGGCUAAGAUUUUUACUUUUCAGAAACAUGUAUAUAAAUGCUUCUCGGUUGAUUGAAAAUGAAGCAUUUAACACGAUUAUCUUAGUACAUAGAGUUCCCUGAAUUUACUACAUUUUGAUUUGUGUAACCUUAAUAAAACAAGUCUUUAAUAGAAAGUUGAGUCGCUACUUUGUUCUUAUUUGGUUAAACGGGUACUUGAUAAAAAUGUUUAAUCAUCAUUCCACAUAAGUCGUUUUAUACAUUUGGUUAUAAGAAAUCGUACAUAUUUUUGUUCUGUCAUAUAAAAGUAUACAUGUUAUAUGUUUUGAUUGACAUUGUAUCAUCUACUUUUUAAUAAAAAUAGUGAGUUGUAAAUUUAAAGGGGUUGUUUUACUAUUUAAAUAAUGAAUUUAACCAUUUAACAUCUAAUGAGUUACUUAGUAUUUCUUUCUUUGAUUUAAAUUCAUUAAUUCAAUCAAAUAGAUGAAAAUGACCAAUCAAUAACAAGAUAAAUUUUUAAAAAAAUAAGCAAAUUGGGAGGCCGAAAGUGAGCCUUAGAUAUAUAGCAAACAAUCACUUCAUUCAAAAUUCAUACUAUAUAGCAAUCUAAUUCUUAUAAAAAAAACAUACACACACUUAAUGAAAUUAGAUAUAUCGGCAAAGUGCGUUCCAGUGCUAAUUAGGCUAACCUACAUCAAGAAAAAAAAAUGAUAUGGAUAUAUCAUCAUCUCUUAUGUAUAAUAAUUAAAAAUAUGAAAUAAUAAAAUGAUAUUAAAAAUUUAGUUUUUCUAAAAAAAAUAUUUAAAAUUCUUUUUUUAUAUUUUAAUUAUAAUUUUCAUGGAAUUAAAUAUAUAUUCUUCUAUUCUGUUAUUUUAUCAAUAUUAUAUCAAUCUCUAACUGUAUGGGUGAAAAAGAAAAGAAAAAAGAACGUAAAAAUUAUUAUUUCAUAGAAAUAAAUACCUGUCAAUGUGGAUGAAGGGAAUGUGGCGCACUUUAUAGAAAUCCUCUCCUUCUUUUCCAUCUAUCACUUUAAUCCUUUCUUUCAAUGACGAAGAUGUUUGUAUUAAAUUCAAUUCUUGGAGAGUAGUAAUGUACCUCAAUCCUUCUGGAA